UUUUUCAAACUAUCACACGAGUCUACCUCAACUGAGUUUAGAUUUGGGCACUCAAAACAAUUCAACUGAGUGGUAGCUGAUGUGUCAUAUACCAUUUGUAGUGCUUGACAUUUGGAUAUCUUGAGAUGCUUGAGUUGCCUGAGACAUUUAACCAUAGAACUUGAAAACAAGAAUCUUAAACUAUCACAUUGAUGCACAGUCAAGCUUAUUAAGUUCGGCAUCAAAACCUGCAUGGUACAGAACAAAAUUCAUAUUUAUUUUAGAAAAUUACAGUUUACAUGGUUGUAACCGUAAAUGUUCCAAAUGUGCAAACAUAAAGUAAAGGUAAUGGUCAUAUAUUAAAAAAGUAAGCUACUAGGCUACUAGACAGCUGUAAGUCUUUCUACUUUCAUUACUUAGCAGAGAACAAAUUGAAGUGUAAUAAAACUAUCUGAAAAAUGAAAUAUGGGGCCAAAAUUGGAAUGCCAGGAUCCUCUUUGUGAGAAUUUCAAGAAUCUUUCAAUUGUGUUCACUCAUCGUACAUCGUACGGUCAGAAAUCAUUAUAAAUUUUUUUAUUUAAAAUUGAAAAUAAACCGUACCUAACAAAAAUUUGUCACAUGAGGUACGAUUAACGAGCACAAUUAGAGAAUCUCCAGUAAUUCGGAAAUGAUCCUUAUUCCCAAAAUUGUGUCAAUUUAAUUCCAAAUUUGAACUAUUUUAUUUAAAUUGAUACCAAAAACACAUUAUUGUGAAACUUUGGUGGUAGGUGGUGGUCUCUACUGUGAUAGGGCCGAGUUCAAAUUUUCUGUACUUAAAAUGGGUUUAGCUUCUCUAUGACAUGUCUCAUUACCUGACACCUGGCCACAAACUUGACCUAACUUAACCAUGUCAACUACCAAUAAAAUUAAAUAAAAAUAAAAACAAAAGUAAGGAAAAAGAAGCCGGUCAUCGUCCAUCUCCCUCUCUUCCCCAAGAUCAAUUGCAUCUCCUUCGCACUUUAAAUCCAUAAAAUCCAAAUUUGGGAAGAUUGAAGAAUAAAUCCCUUGGGCUGUCAGAUUUGUGAAUGUAAGCGCCUCCCCUGAAAUUUCUUUUGGGCUGUCAGAUUCGUUGAAUUUACACCCUUGUCGAUCGAGAAGGAACUCGACGUCACCAUCGACGAUCUCCUAUUGCAAAUCCUUGGGGUCCUUGCCGUUGACCGUGCAGCCCACAAAAACGCAGGUUCCGAGAAUCUCCUUCACCGUUCCCGUAAGCUCCUUAGGCCAUGGAUCUGUUCUCAUAACCUUGGCGAUCUCGAUGACGUCAUCAAGGGAGAUGCUGCAGCUGUGGUUGAAGAGGUGGUGGUCCGUGAGGGAGGGGGCGGUGAUUGGUGGCGUUGGGAAGGAAGGGGAAUGGGAGAGGUACACAGUACGCUGGGCUACGCUCUGAUUUAUUUUAUUUUAUUUUAUUUUAUUUUAUUUUAUUUUAUUUGAACUUGUUAGUUGAAUCAAUGCCUAGGAAGAAAAAAAUCUUAAUAUCAAAACCUGAUAACUUAAUAUGUCAUUUAAAUGGUUUUGGCUUAUUGAAAAAAAUAAAUAAAUCUUAAACAUUUGUAUUUUUUUUCUUAUUGAAAGAAAAAAAAAUUAUUUGGUCGAAAUUGGAAGAAGAAAAGUAUUUGGAGAAAGAAUCAUGCAACCAUUUUGCUAGAAAAAUAACAGAGAAAGUACCUCCUCAUUAUUGAAAAGUCUCGGUGGUCCACCAGCUUCAUCCUCCAACACGAUUUCGUCGGCAUUUGUAUCAUUCGUUAAUUGCUUGCCCUUGGAAGAGAAACCAAUAAGCUUUGGUAGAUUCUGCAGUGUCAAAGAUUUUAACUUUUGGAAAGGGUUGCCUAUGAGUUGUCCAUAACAUACACUUUUCAAACUCACAAUGUUUUUAAGAGAUAGAGAUUCCAGAUUGAGGAAGGCAUUUUGAGAAUAACUCCAACUGACGGAGUUAAUAACAUAUGUGACUUCGUCGUUGUUUUGGACGUGGAGAUGCGUCAGGUGAUUAACAGCUUCACUGUCAAAUAGAUAGGAAAUAAUAUUCACUAUCUCCACCCCAUCCAAGUACAAUUGCUCACUUCUCUUUACCAGCAACUUUAUACCUCGAUCGAACUGAUUACUCCCGGUGAGCUUGAGUUUUAGCAUGUUAGAGGAGGUUGCAAGGAUGUUAGGAUACUCCCAACAAUCACCGACAAGUAUGGUGUAUCUUUCUAACUUAUCGGAGAACAAGUUGGUUGGAAGAAGGUUAGCAUCUGGAAUGUGUACGUCCAAUGCGGAUAGAUGAGAUAAGUGCUUCAGCUCUGAAACGCUGGCAUUACUUCUGCCGUCGACCAAACCUUCACCCUCCCAUUGCUUGAAGCUUUUUAUUCCCAUCCUCAAGUCUUCUAGUCUUGUCAAGCACGAUAUAGCAUCAGGUGGGAUCAGAACAAGUUUAGAGCAACAGGUCAAAUCCAAUAAUUGUAGGCUAGUCAAUUGCCUUAUUUCUUUGGGCAAUUCUUUAACCUCGGACUGUAAGAGGCUAAGGAUUUUCAAGUUUGUUAGCUGUCCAACAAGAGCUAUGUCUUCCAACUCGCAAUGAUCUAGACACAAUGUGUGGAGAUACUUUAGGGAUAGAAGAGACGGAGGUAGCGACGGAAUACGGAUUCCGCUGACAUCCAACACUUUGAGUUCUUUCAUCCCUUCAAAAAAUUUGCUUGGGAUUUCCUGGGAGUUGCCCAUAUAAUUAUCGGACAAGAUUAACAAUUUUAAUUCUGGGCAUUCCCAAGGUACUUCAGGAAGCCUGGGGAUCUUGCAACCUAUUAAGGACAUCCUUGUACAUUUUUCAAGGAAAUCCUCAGCGGGCCAUUCUUUAACCUCAUCUCCAUCUGCUUUUGAAAAGGCCUUUUGAUCAUCAGAUGCGAUCCGGAAAGCAACAUCUCGUACAAGCUCAUGCAUUCUAACAGUCCUAUCAUCAUCACUGUCCAGCAAUAGGCAAGAAUGUUUUAGUUUUUUAACCAUUCUAUUCAAUGAAAUCCGUGCCUCUUCCACUGUCUCAACACUUCCAACCAAACCCAAACCCAUAGCACAGUGCAACAAAUAAAAGACAUAAAUGGUGCUACCCCCAUUUGCAAGAAUUCCGCAAAGCAAGAACAAUUGCUGAAGCUCUUGAUCUUCCAAUCGUUUGUAACUCCACUUUAGAGCCAAGAAUGCUUUUUCAUGCAAUUCUUCCUCGGCAAAUCUUUUGAAGCUUUUCAACGCAUCUUUCCAUUCCUGCAAACUACUAUCCUUUAAAGCACUUGCAACUGCAACAACCAAAACCGGCAAACCUCCACAUUUCUUUGCUAGUUGGGUUGCUUCUUUCAGUAUACGGUUGUCUUUAACGACAUUACCUGCCACCUUCUCAAACAAACUCCAACUUUCUUUUUCUGUUAAAAAUCCAAGUGGAAAUUCUUUUUGCGUACGCAUAUCAGAUAAUAAAACUGUACUAUCUCUAGAUGUCAACAAUAACUUACAAUUCGGCACACCAACAAGUCCCAUGGCCUCAAAGUCAAUUCUUUCCAAAACAUCAUCGAAAAUGACAAGAGUCUGCUCCUCUUUUAUCCUGGCUCGUAGGAGAUUCGCCUUUUUUCCCAUAUCCUCAGAUUCAUCGUCCAUCCCCAACCUUUCGGUAAUUUCCCUUUGAAUUUUUUUGUCUUCUUUUUCUUUGACAUUUAUUAUUAUAACCACAUUACCAAAUAACUUCUCUUUCACAGCUUCUCUGUAAACCUCUUUGGCAAGUGUUGUCUUCCCAACGCCCCCUAAUCCGUACACCCCAAUCCUGUUGAUAUCAGGGUUUUUCAGUUCCGUAAUGAUAGCCUUCACCAUAGAAAUCCUUGAUUCAAAGGCCAUGUAGUCGUGGGAGGCUAUGCCAGAUAUGUCUUCUACGGGAGCAUCGUAAAAAAGACUCUGAAACCCUUUUUUUUUAUUUUCAUGUGCUUCAAUCUUUUCCAUCAGUUUUGUUGACUUCCUGCUACGCUGAUGAUAGUAUAUCAGAUUAGGACAUAUAAUGAGACACUUUGUCUUUGCACGGCCUUCAUCAUGCAAGAGUGCUUCUGCCUUCAGAGUGGUCUUCUCUGCAUCUGACUGCCAUUUCUCGACAUCAGCUUCCAGUUUUUUAUCAACUUUUCUUCGGACUUCAUCAACGUCAUGCUUCAUCCUUUGUUUGACAGAAUCAAAAUUCUCCAAUUUACUCCUUAGAUCUUCAAGGUUGCUUUUGUAGGAAAUGAUAUAACCCACUUGGCGUGCAACUGGUCUAAUUGUGUAGUCAAUUAUUGUAGGAAUAAUUGCAUUGAGUAUCUCCAUCGCCAUGGCACCUUCAGCUUACCAAUUCGUCUGCUUCUCUGAUCUGUUGAAUAUAUACGAAUCCACAAUGAAAAAAAUUCAAGAUACGAGAAAGGAAUCCUUUAUUUUUAAGCAGAUGAAAUUAAAAAAAAUGAAACAAUAGGUCAUACCUUAGCUCUUGAUCAAGACUAGGCUUGAAGAAAAACAGAGCAGUAUGCAAAUCUUUUGGUUUUCUUUUGGGUUUGGAGAAAUCUGCAUAGUAAAAGCAAAAAGAAGGUUAUACCACACUUGCAAAGUAGAAGUCGAGACCAUGAACAAGUUUUCACAUACAAUUAUUAUACUAAAAAAAUUUGCUUGGUACGGAAUUUAGGCAACUGUUUUCAAAUCCUAAAAACUAUGAAAAACAUAUAUAAUCUGCUUUGAAUUUCAGUGAAACAUUUUGACAAACACCGUAUCAGCACACUUAAUUUAAAGCCGGUGCAUGAGGCAGAGAUCGAAAUGUAGAACGAUUUGCUCGUUGAAGACCACCAAGGCUCGUUAAACACUGUAUCACGGAGCUACUGAGCUAUAUGGUACUACGGAGUUGACCCCCGAUUCUCGCAAGCUGACCGAGUUAACUCUGCCAAGGCUCGACGAGUUCUGGAGGCUCAUGAUGAGCUCUAGUUUACGAGAGAAAUCUGAGGCCAUCAACUGCGAAAUCCAGGCAGUCAUGAGCUCGAGCAACGUAAGGUCAGGAACAGAGACAACCUCCCUCUCUCUGAAAGGUCGAGCAGAGAGAGGAGGCUGCCAAUUGUCUGAUUUUCUUCAUUUUAAGAGAAUUUAUUUUAUUUUAUUUUAUUUACAAGUAUGAUAAAUGGCUGCCAUGGUGGUUGUGUUGUGCCUUGGUUGUUCGUCAGUGUGGAAGUGAGAUUCAGAUUGUCUCACCAAACUACAGACCCACAGUUGAACAGUUUAAAUUACAAGAAAUAAAUACCCUGAGAAAUUUACGAGGUUCGGCAAAAAUCUGCCUACGUCCUCCAAGAGAUAUUGCCCUUCACUAUGAGAAUAACUAGUAAAAGAUACACUUGAGUUUAAUCAACAUAACUCAAACCCCAAUCCCUUGUACCCUCACAGAAUUUUACUAAGAGUCCCACUCUCCCCAAGAGUUUCUCACUCUCACUCUAUAUUUUCUCUCCUUUGUGUUCUCCUUUGGAUGCUCUCUCAAUGCAUUUCUAAAUGCACAAAUAUUGCAUCUAGUUAUAGGCAUACACUAGCAACUAUGCCAACAAACAAGACUAAAAAGUCUUAAGUUCACAUGACAUAAUUAUCACCUAGCCUACCUAGCAUGCAUCAAAGUCUAUACCUAGUCUAUAAAGUACAACUUUUCUCCAUUUGUCAUUUAAUGCAUAUAAAAUAAAACAUGCACAAUAAAACUUGCACAAUUGUGUGCAAGCAACCACAAAGUCAAGUCUUGCUUCCAACUUUGCUUGUGGUAGUCACCAUGUCUUCUCUUGAAACAAGACAUCCAUGCCACAACCGAAAGCCAAACACAAAGUGGCUACUGCCAUUUCCCUGUAGCACUCAGAAAGUUACACUAUCAAAAUUGUUGCCAACUCAUAAGUAUAUGAGCCAAACACAACAGAUUGGUCCUAGAAGAGGAAGGUGGAGGAAAAAUGGUGAAAAAGUUGCAGGGAGGAAGAAAGGAGGUGUUUGGUUGUGUGUUAUUUCUUAUAAUAGCAGGCGUCUUAAACUUAGUGGACCACAUAAGCAAGUCGUAUUGGGUACUCAAAAGACAAAUACAAGUUUACAUUUUUAUCAUUAGAUAAUGUAUAUGUUUGUUUAAUUUAAUACAAUGAUUUUUUUUUUAAAGGAAAAUAUUAAAAACGUAUCUAGUAUUCAGAUACAUAGAUAAUGUCAAAAGCUAAUAAUUUUGUGCUAGAUAGUAAUAUCUUUGUAAUGUAUAAAAUAAUGGUAGUGUUGCUGGAGAUGGUGAUUAUGGCAAGAGUUGUGCUAGAAGCAAUGGUGGUUAGGUUGGUGGUAUUAGUAAUGGGGAAACGCCCAUUGAAUAGUGACAAUAGUGGAGUGGAAAAAGGGCAAUGGUAGACUGGUAGUAGGAAUGGUGGUGACGGCCGGCGAUCGUGGCAGAAGGUGGUUGUGGUUACAAUGCUACAGAGGGGCGGUAUAGGUGACGUUGAUUGAGAGGUGGUGACGGUGAUGAUGGUGAAGAUGGUAGAGGUUGUGCUGGUCAUGGUGGCAGAGGUGAUGACAUGGAGAUAGUGGCGAUGGUGGUAGUAGUGAUAAUGACGACAAUGGUAGUGGGAGGUGGUAGUGGUAAAGAUGGCAUCGAUACUGGAGGAGAGGGUUGAGGUAAUGGUGAGGGUAGUGGCGGUUAUGAUUGUUGGAGUUGUACUUCAAAAAUCUAAUAUCACAGUAUUAGAUAUUUAUAUAACAAUUCCAUUAUAAUGCUAAGAUUUCGUAUUUAGAAAAUACAUUUAGUAUUAUUAUUGUACAAGAGCUAUUUUGAAUUGUUUUUAUAUUACAUUGGUUUAUAUAUAUGUAUGUUUAGGUUUGCAUUGUUUGCACCACGUGAUACCUUGUUCCAUAGGAUAGGACCGGACAUAGUUUUAUGUUAUUAGAAUCUUCAUAGCUUCCUAUCUAGUUUAGGUUAAGGUGGCAUUGUAUGAUGGUUCAAGCCAAGGUGCUUUAUCGGCACUCUCCUAAUAUAUAGAUGAGAGAUCCACUAAUAGCUAAAGACGGCAUGCAUCCAAAUGACAGUUCAUUUGCAUGGGAAAAGUAGAAAGAAGGGGAAGGCAAUCACAGGCAGAGAGAAGAAGGAGAGCAGCGAAUAAUUAAAGAAGGCAACAUUGCGGUAAUCAGCAGCAAGUAGACCAAAGCCACAAGAGAAGACAUUGUCAAAUCGAGAAAUUAAUCAAGAUAUAAUUAAUGUACAAAGUGGCGAGCAUAAAAUUGAAGAGCUUUUCUGUUUUUUAUCUUCUAAUGUUGUCAAUAAACGAACUUUAAGCCGUUGUCAGUUAGGGAGAAGAAAAUGGAAACAGAAGAGGGGAAAGAAGAGACAACUGGUCCUGAUGGACUCAGGCUUUUCCUGAACUUAGUUUUCUUAAUUUUAUUAUGCUUUUUUUUUUCCUGAACUUAGUUUUCUUAAUUUUAUUAUGCAUUUAGUGACAACUUCAAUUAUGUUUUGGAACUAAUUUAUUUUCCCUAGAGCAACGAUGUAGCCCAAUCAUGCUUGCUUAAUUCCUCAGUUAUGUUAUUUUUAAAUUUUCAGUAGUAUUAAGUUUUUUUGUUGUGGAUUUUACGCUUGAUUAUUAUCUUGUUGUUUUUAGAACAAUGAUAUAUUUAGGUACAAACAUUUCAGUACAAUAGGUUAUAGGUUAGUAUAAUAUAUUUAGGUACAGAUAUUUUAGUACACUAGUUUAGUAUAAUAUAUUUUGGUACAUAUAUUUUGGUACAUUAGUUUAGUAUCAUAUCCAAUUUUCGGUACACUAAUGUUUUUGUAUAAUUUCUUAUGUGCCACUAAUUCACUACAAUAUAUUUAGGUACGAACAUUUUGGUACACUAAUUUAGUGAAAUAUAUUAAUUAGAGGAAGUUAAAUAAAAUUUGUUGAUGCACAAAACCGAAGGUCUUGUAACAAUGUAAAUCCGACCAUGAAUCUAUAAGAAAUGUAAAGAACACAAGAUGUAUUGUGGUUCAUCCCAAUGUUUGGGCUACAUCCACACUGAUAUUGUAUUUCUCUCUAACUGUAUGUAUGAAUUACAAGGGUGAAGGGGAGUCCUCCAGAGAAAGAGAGAGUUUGAGAGAGCUCUCUAUUUGUUAGGAUGAGAGCUUUGUAAUGUGAGAGUGAAAGGGGAUGUGAGGCUUAAGGUUUGUGAGGGUAAGGAGGCACUUUUAUAGACUAAGGGCUCCUCCCCUUUUUACAUAUUUGCUCCUUCAUUUAUUACAUAAUUACAUUUAAGUCCCGAGUAUUUAUACGAGAUCUAAAUACGGAGGCCCUAAGUAUGGUACAAACAAAAUUAAUGAAUUAAAAUGUGUAUAAUAACAAAUUUAAAUACAUUACAUACUGGCACAUAGUACUACGGUCUAGUGGUAUUCCUCUUCACUUGUAAGUAAAAAGUUUUAGGUUCGAUUCUCGCUAAAGACGAAUUUAAACCACAUUAUUGUUAGCCCAUUGUGAGGCUAGCCCCUCCCCCACCCUCUUAGUGUAGAUAAUAUCGUUGGUUAAAAAAUAUAUAUAUAUACAUAUAUAUAUAUAUAUAUUAAAUAUUAAAUAAAAAUAUAAGAUGAAUUUGAAUUAAGUACACAUUAAAGGACUAAAAUCAAUAUAUAAUCUAACACCAAAUUUUUAUUAAAUUUUAAUCUUCUUCGAGGAUUAAAGUUAAAAAACCCUUGUUUUUUUAAAUCCUGUUAAAUCCUAUUUUGACAAUAACAUGAUUUCAAAUUAUUUUAAAAUUCUAUUGACCACACCUUGAUUCUAAAAUCCUUUAAAAUCUUAAUUUGAUUAUAUCCCGAAGAUUAUAUUAUUAGAGCAUUGGGACUUUCACCACCACCUUUGAGUACUCAUUUAAGAACUUAAAAGGAAUCUUUGUGUCCUUAAAGGAAUAUUGCCUUCAAUGGAAGAGUCAUUAUUGUAGAAUCCCAAAAUUUGAAGUUUUUAUGAUUUUAUAUGACAAUUUGAUUAGGUGCACAUUUUUUGUUUACGUUAAACAUUUUGAAUUAAUUAAAAGCUUCAAUCAAGAUUGUGGGUUCUACUCAAGAUUGUCUCCCUAUACAGUUCCUAUAUUUGGGUACGUACAUUAUAUAUCAAGUGAGUCUCUAUAUUUUAGGGACUCACUUUCUGAUUCAUUGGAAAUUCAUUUUGUCCUAUAUUUGUUUUAUACCCAUUUUAUAUAGUAUUUGUCCUUAUUUAGGGACUUCAUUGGAGAUCCUCUAAAGAGUGUAGUAAGUUUUUUUACUGUAAUUGUACAUACGAAUACAAGUAUGAUUUUUCAUUAAAUAAAAUCGAAGGGUGUCUAGAAAAAAAAGUUGAGUGUAAACAAAACAUAAUUGAGGAAUGCUAGCUACCUUGUCUUCUUACCUUUCCCUACUUGCCUUCCCCAGUCGUUAGUUGGCAUGUGAACUCCAUUACUACUUUUUUUUCUUGAACAAACAAUAGUAUCUACACUAAUAGGUGGAAGAUUUGGCUAAGCCUCAUAACAGACUAACUAUAAUAAUGUGGUUCAAAUUCACCUUUAGCGAGAAUUGAACCCAAUACCACUAGAUCGUAGUACUAAGUGACAACUCCACUACUACUUAAAGGUCAAUAUUUAAUGUGUUAAAAUAUUAAUUAUUUAGUUCCCACAUAUGCCCUCCAUUAAUACACCAAUUUUUAACUCACUCAAUACUGCUUUAAAUUUUAUAAUUUCCACCUCAGCCGUUCCUCAUUCCCAUUAGGCCAUUUCCAACCGACCUGGCCAAAGGAUUAUAGAGCUAAAAAUAGCUCGAAAUGACACAAAAAUGAUCUCCAACUGAGGGCUAGGCCAAAUGACUUGUGGAUCCCAUUGGGCCAAAACCACCAAAUUAGGCCAGCGGGUUAGCCAUUUCCAGCCCGAUGAGCCCAGCCCACUUUUUUUUUUUGGACGAAUUUUUUUCCUACACUAUUUCUCACAUGCUUUUCACCAUUUCAUACUAUCUUUCCUCAUUUUAUUUCAAUUUUUCACAUUCUAUUCUCUUCCAAUAAUAUUUCCCUUAAUGUUUUCAGUAAUUUUCAAAUGGCCACCUCUUUCUAUAAUCUUCUAAUAUGUCCGAAAAUCUUAUUUGAAUAUAGUAGUUUACUUUAAUUAACUAUAUUAAUUCAAUUAAAAUGAUAAAUUAUGUUUGGCCUAUGGCCCUUUUGGCCUUCUCGGUUGGAGAUGAUUUUUUGUCAAAUGACUAUGUUUGGCCUAUGGCCAUUUGGCCCUCUCGGUUGGAAAUAGUAUAAAAUAUGACCUGACACUAUUCAUUAAAAUAUAAUUUCUUGUAUGAUUAUAAGGCUAAACAUAAUCAUUUGGCAUUCCUUCGGUUGGAGAUGAACGUCUUCUUUUUUAUCCUAUUCAUGUAUUUUUUUUUCCUUCUAUUUUACAGGACUUCUGUUCAUGUUCUUCUACCAAAAUACUAAAAUAUUCAUUUUUUUUUGUUAUCAAAAUGUUAUGUUUAUUUCGAGCAACAAACCUUUACCACUGAACACCACCAUCAUGCCAUUCCUGGCCCUUUCCGACUCCCCGAUUUGCCCUCCUCCCAGUCCGUCGCCCCAACCUCCAUUUCCCAGUCCGGCCCCCAUCCCCUUUAUCUAUCCCUCAUCUAGUGAUCCCACCUCUGGUUUUGGAGAUGACGGAGGCAUGGAGGUGGCGACUGGUCGUCACAAUUCCUCUAAUAACGAAUCUAAUUGUUAAUUUUUGUUAUAUUGGUUUGGUUUUAGUGAUUUGGGUGGGCAGAUGAGUGUUUUCAGUAUUUUACUUGUGUGGAUUUCGUUUGGUAUUUCUGUAAUUUUGGGUUUUUUUUUCUUCUGCAAUUUGGUAGAAAGGGGUGUAGUCAAACUUGGAUUUAAGAAGAUUUUAAAAGACUUUAAAAUCCUAGUGUAGUCAAUUAAAAUAUUUUAAAGGAUAUUAGAAUCCAUUCAAAUCUAGAUGUAGUCAAUUAAAAGAUUUUAGAAUCCAUUAAAAUCUAGGUGUAGUCAAUUAAAAGAUUUUAAAGGAUUUUAGAAUCCAUCCAAAUCCAAGUGUAUUUAAAAAAUUAAGAUUUUAGAGGAUUUCAAUAAGUUGUGGAUUUUGUGGGAUUUGAAAGCAAAAAGUAUGUAUAACCAAAACUAAAAAGAACCCAACCUCACCCCUAGGAUUUCAAAUCAUUCCCCCACAAUCCACCACAAUCCAUUCAAAUUCUUUAAAAUCCAUAUAAAUUUUGUAGACGUCUUUAAUUCUCUUUAAUCCUAUCAAAUCUAUCACUUUUAAAAUCCUUUAAAAUCCUUUAAAAUCUUAGUUUGACUACACCCCCAAGAAACAAGAAUCCCCUACAAUCCACCACAAUCCAUUCAAAUUCUUUAAAAUCCAUAUGAAUUUUGUAGGAGUCUUUAAUUUUCUUUAAUCCUAUCAAAUCUAUCACUUUUAAAAUCCUUUAAAAUCCUUUAAAAUCUUAGUUUGACUACACCCCCAAGAAACAAGAAAGGGAGACCGGGAAAGGAGGGAGACUUUUGAAGUUAAACUUUUGGUAGGUUAAAAAUUGGUAGAUUAAUGAGGGAUAUCUGUGGAAAUAAAGUAAUUAGUUUUUUAUAUGAAGUUUUGUAAGUGAUAGUGGAGUUCACUUUGUCAAAAAAAAAAAUAAAAAAAAGAAGUUAUAGUGGAAUCCACACAUCACUUAGUGAAUGGGAAAGGCAAGUGGGAAAAUGUAGAAAGCAUUCCUCUUUAUUUUCUUUGGAAAAAUGCUAAGAGACUCUCCCAAAAGUAGACAUUUUCUCUUAGCAUUUCUCAUUUUCUUUAAAGAGUCCCCCUAGCAUAUCUCAUUAAUGAGGUGGCAAAAAAUCCAUAGAGAGUCAUACUUUUGAGAGUGUCCCCUAAACAUUUAUCUUUCCUUUAGAAAACUUCAACUCCAACCACACUCUCUAUCAUGUUUUUUUUUAUUUUUUUUUUAUGAAUAAAUGAUAUUAUCUACACCAACGAGAAGGGGAUAAGUUUAGUCUCAUAAUGGACUAGCAAAAAUGUGGUUCAAAUUCGCAUUUAACGAGAAUCAAACAUAAGACCCCUCUCUUACAAGUGAAGAUGAAUACCACUUUUUAGUAAAGCAGAUUUGCUAGGAAUUCUUGAAUUUAGGAAGUGAGAAAGAAGCUCUUAAGGGCUUCUAUAACGUUAAUUACUUUCUUUAAUAACUUUUUUAAAUAUAUGUUUCUAUCAGUACAUAUUUAUUAUGACUCUCUAAAUUAGAUUAAUUACUAUUCCCUUAAUAACUUUUUAAUAAAUAAAUAAAAACUUUGUUUCUAUUAGUACAUAUUUAUUAUGACUCAAUUAGAGAUUACAGUUUAGUGAAGAUUAUAGUUUAGUCGCAUCUUCAGCUCAGAGUAGGCCUUACGUAACACCUCAGGCACGAGGCAGCAAAAAACUGGACAACAUAGAGGUAGACAGCCUGGAAGAGGUUAGUAGGGAGUAGAAGCUCAGAGCAGUAGAGUUGGGAUGCCACAUAAAGGUUUUCAACAAGUUGGCAAAGAUUAUGCAUUAUCUGCUUUGAAGGGUGAGGCGAAGCCUCACACAGUCACAUGUAUUAUUCAUAUUGAUUCGCUCUUAGCUAAAAUAAUGUUUGAUCUUUGGAUCUACUCAUUGUUUCAUAUCUAGUACUUUUGCUGAGUCGUUGGGUAGAACUAUUGAGACGAUGGAGGUAGCGUACUCCAUUUUCUAUCAUUUUUCGAGGUGUUAUAUUGUUAAUUGAGUAGUUCGAUCCUAUGAGGCUCAUGUGGUAGGGUGAGAUGACAGUUGAUUUGAUGGUUCCUCCAAUGCGAGAUCUAGAUGUCAUUAUUGGCAUGGAUUACCUAUCCAUGUAUCGUGUAAAUCUUGAUUGUGUUUGAAAACUUGGUGACCUUCCGACCACUUGGCAGACUUGAGUUUCAAUUUACUGAUGUUCAUAGAGUUACUUCACCACCAGUGAUGAUAUCAGCCACCAAGUCUAGGUGACUCAUGAGACGUGGAUGUUAGGGUUAUCUAGCUUAUGUCGUCGAUUUUGAUUGACAAGAUAGUAGGAUUGAUGACAUACUAGUCGUUAAAGAAUUUCUAGAUGUGUUUACAACAGAGUUACCGAGCUUGCCUUUAGCGAGAAAGAUCGAGUUCACUAUUCACCUCGUGUCAGGGAUAUCGUCUAUUGCUAAGGCCUCGUAUCAUAUGGCACUUUUGGUGCUUAGAGAGCUUAAAGAGCAGCCGUAAGAGUUGUUGUAUAAGGGUUUGAUUCGACCAAAUGUUUCACCGUGGGAAGCUCUUAUUCUCUUUGUGAAGAAGAAAGACGAAUCUAUGUAUUUGUGCAUUGAUUAUCUUAAGUUUAACAUAAUGAUAGUGUGGAACAAGUAUGCCCUUAUCGAGGAUUAAUGAGCUGUUUGACCAGCUACAGGGUGCGUAGUACUUUAGUAAGUUGGAUUUGCGAGCUAGUUAUCAUCAAUUGAGGAUUAGAGAGAAGGACAUACCGAAUAGGUUUUCUAGACUCGCAAUGGUCACUAUGAGUUCUUGGUAUUACCAUUUGGUCUGACUAAUGCACCUGCUACGUUCAUGGAUGUGAUGAACAAGGUGUUUCGAUCGUUUAUUGAUCAUGUUGUGUGGGUGCAUCGAUGAUAUUUUAAUCGAUUCACGGAGUUUAACCAAGCAUGAAAAGCAUCUGAGACUUGUUCUGCAGGCUAUGAAAGAUUGUCAGCUGUCUACCAUGUUAAGCAAGUGAGUUUUGUCUAGACCAUGUUGGUUUUCUUGGUCAUGUGAUCUCGCAAGAUGAUCAUGGUGGAUCUUGUGAAGGUUAAGGCGGUUGUUGGUUGGAGUCGACCAACUACAGUGACUGAGAGUUGAUUUCUUACCAUUCAUAUUUUCUUUUACGAGACUGAUGGGGAAGACUACUCAUUUCAUUUGGGAUGACAAGUGUAAGGCCAACUUUGAGAAGCUAAUGAAAAGACUCGUAAAUGCACAUGUUUUUACCUUUCCUUUUAGUUUUGGGGAUUUGUAGUUUACAUUGAUGUUUCCUGUAAGGGACUAGGUUGCAUUUUGAUGCAGCAUGGUAAGGUAGUAGCCUUCGCCUCUCGCUAGUUGAAACCGCAUAAGCUUAAUUAUUCGCCCCAUGAUUUGGAGUUAGUUGUUGUGGUCUAUGCACUGAAGAUCUAAUGACAUUAUCUUUAUGGGGAGUCUUAUGAGAUUUACAUCGACCACAAGAGCCUGAAGUACAUCUUUACUCAACGGGAGAUGAAUUUGAGAUAGAGAUGUUGGCUAGAGCUGGUGAAGAACUAUGACUGUCAGAUUCUCUAUCAUCUGGGCAAGGUGAAUGUAGUUGUCGAAACCUUUAGCUGAAAAAACUUAGCCAGUGCUACAGCUUUAUUACUUUAGGUUAGUUAGUUAACAGAGGAUUUGAGGAGGAUAGAGAUUGAGACUAUUGAUCAAAGUGGUGAUCAUCUACUCGUAGCCCUUACCAUGUAACCUACGUUGAUCAAUCAAAUUGAGGCAGCUCAGAGCGAGGAUCCAAAUUUGGUUUGGAUCAUGGAUGGAGUUUGAGUAGGUACUCGCUUCGAAUUUUCCAUCUCUGAUAGUGGUGUUCUUUAUUUCUGGAUCAAACUUAGUGUUCUGAAUGUCAGAGAUCUAUUGAUGAAGGCCAUGGAUGAGGCUCAUACUUUUACUUUUUAUAUUCACCCCGAGGGCACGAAGAUAUAUCAGGGUCUUGGUGAGAGUUUCUGGUGGGGAAACAUGAAGAAAGAGAUUGCAGAGUUUGUAGCACAUUGCUUGACUUGUCAACAAGUUAAGGCAGAACAUCAGCGACCUACAUGCUUACUUCAGGACUUCCCUAUUCCCGAGUGUGAGUGAGAGCUCAUUACCAUCGAUAUCGUGAUAGGGUUACGGAGGGCUAAAGAUGAGCAUGAUUUUAUUUGAACAGAUUGAUGAAAUUCGAUCAUUUUCUCGAAGAAUAUUCUCUGGAGUGACUUGUGAGACUCUACAUGGAUGUGAUUGUGAAGUUGCAUGGACUUCCAAUGUCUAUUAUUUCUGAUUGAGAUCCUCGUUUCACUUCUCUUAUUUUAAUAGUCUUCAUAGAGUUAUGAGGACUAAGUUGAGUUUCAACAUAACUUUUCACCCUCAGACAGAUGGUCAGUCAGAGUGUACUAUUCAAACUUUGAAGGAUAUGCUUUAAGCCCGCAUCAUAGACUUGAAGGGUAAUUGGGACACACAUCUUUCGUUGAUUGAGUUGGCGUAUAAUAACAGCUUCUAGACGAGUAUUUAGAUGGCACCUUACAAGGUACUAUAUGGGAUGAGGUACAUAUUACUGCAAAGAAGGUUGCUCUGAUUCGUGCACGUUUAUUAGCAGCUCAUAGUCGACAACGGAGUUAUGCCAAUCCUUACUGAUGUGAGGUGACAUUUGAGAAUGGAAGGUAAAUUUCCUUACUGUUUCUCAUAUGAGAAGCGUCUUCAUAUUCGGGCGGGAAGCUUAGUUUGGGAUAUGUGGGAUCGUUUAAGGUCUUAGAGAAAGUUGGUAAGAUUGCCUAUUGCCUUGCAUUGCCACUAGAGUUAUCACACAUUCAUUCGGUGUUCCACGUAUCUUCACUUUGAAGGUAUCGCAGUGAUCCGUCUCAUUUCAUUUCUUAUGAGCCAAUCCAAAUUAGAGAGAACCUCACUUAUUACUAGUGACAUGUUGAGAUUCUUGAUUGAAGAGAGAAUGCUCUCUGCACCAAAGCUAUUUCUUUGGUGCGUGUCUUGUCGAACAAUCCUAGGGUGUUUGUGUCCACCUUGGAGACAGAAGACGAGAUGCGCUGGCAUUAUCCACAUUUGUUUGAUUUAAGUACAAUGAGUUUAGGGGACUAAACUCUUUUUUAAAGGGGGAAGGAUGUGAAAUCCCAUCCCAAAUUUCAUUAUUUAAAUUUUGUAUUUCAUAGUUGUUGCGACGCAUCCUUAAUUAUGGCAUAAAUUUUUUUUUUUCGAAUUUGUAAAAUGACGAAAAUGCUCCUGUUGGACUAAACGGAGUCCUACGUGCACUUUUGAGCUCAUUUGAUUUUUUGUCUCUUUUCUUAUCACAUUUUGGUAUCAUGUGUUGAUCCUAAAUGUAUCUUGGGAUCGGAGCGUGACAUUUACCCUACUGAGCUGGAAGGUCACCUCUUAUGAAUAUUUGAUAAGUGAGUCCUGAAAAAGUAGUCGACUUUCACAGAAAGUAUAGAGAAAAUUUUGCAAUGUAAUUUAAGAGAUGUUUGUUUUCUUUUUCUUUUUUAUUUUCUUUUUUAUCCACGCAUCGAGUUCGGGACUUUAAUUGUUCCGCCGAUUCUAAAUCUAAGGCGUGACAAUAAUAGUGGAUAUUAUUUAAUAACAUACAACAUGACGCCUUUUAGAUUGUCAAUAACAACUCUUUUUGUAUAUAAUAUGUUAAUAUACAAAAAAACUCAAAGUUGCCGCAACCAUAUGCAAUUAUUGCGUUGCAACUAAUACGUCAAGAUUUGGUCUCAUCUCAUUGCACUAAAAAAUAGUACUGUAAGAAAAACAAUGUUUGACAAAAAAGAAAAGAAAAAGAAAAACAAUGAGAAAUGAUAAUCACAUUUAAGAAAAUCAUAGAUGGAUCGCCUUAGGCCUACGACAUGAUAGCCUAAAUCAAUGUGACAGAGUAUUGAUUUGAGAGAAAGAUUGUAUUGUAUUGUAAUUUAACUAAAUAAAUUUUGAUAAUAAUAACAUACUACUUGGUAUCAUUCGUGACUUGUGAGAAUUAGAGUUUAUUUUAAUUUACUAAUCUUUGAAGAAAAAGGUAUUACUCACUGCCUUGCUAAUUAAAAUAUUAUAGAUCAUACACCCGUUUGAGAAAUAGAUUGAAGAAAUUAACAAGGAUAGUUAAGAUCAAUAUUUUUUAUUUGUUGGAAUAGUUAAGAUCAAUUAAAAUAGUUAAUUCAUUAAAUGAAGAGAUUGAAAUAAAAGUCGAUUAAUCCUACAAAGUACAAACAUUGGGAAUUCAUUUGGGUUUGAAAUUAGUCACGGAUUUCAAAGUUCAUUGGGCCUAGACCAAAUUGGGGCCCAUGGAUUUAAGUUGUGAGACAACAUAAAUCCAUAAAGUCCAAAAGAGGCUGAAUGAAACUCUCUUAGCCGGUUAAAGAGGGAGGAGACAUCGUUAAGUCCGCUGCUAUAGCAUCUAAAAUGGGCUAUUUAAAUAAGGUCCCAACUUAAAAUUUAGGAAGAAUAUAGAAAAGAGAAAUUUUGUUUACACCCAACUUUUGUUUAUGGACAAGCACAUUCACGAAAAUUUAAAUUCCAACUAUGUUUGAACGAGGGAAAUAAACUUGAAAUUUGAGUAAAAAUCAAAAUUUAUAAAUUGACAUGCACUAAUUUCCUUGUUUGAAUUUAUAAACAUAUAAAUUUACAAUUUUCGUGUGAAAAAAAAAAAAACUUGGAAUUUGGGAUCUCCAAUUCCCAAAUUUGAAUUAUACGUAAAUAUGCGUAAUUUCUCAAUUUCUAUGAUUGAGAGUUUCAAACUAACAAAUUCCGUAUUUAAUUCCAUUGUUCUUUUAUGUUAAUCAAACAAGAAAAUUCACAAAUUUUAGAAAACAAAAUCCCGUAAUUUUAAUUUCAGUCAUUUUAAAAUUUCGUAGUAAUCUUAGAUUUCUUCAUCUAAACAUAAUGUUAGAUGUUUACUUUUCCAAACGUAGUGUUAGAUGUUUACUUUUCCGUUGCUAAGAAAAAUGUAAAAAUAUAAUUAAAAAAGUUGUACUUGAUGACAUAUUUCUUUGUAUACAAACCCUAGUGGCUCUUCAAUUUGGGUGUCAAAGAAAUUAAGAUUAUGUUAAAGAGUCUAGUAAGUCCUUUAUAGUAAUUUUACAUAUGAGCAUAAGUAUUAUUUUACAUUUGGGAACUUUAACGAAAAGCUCCCGGUGUUGUUCACUUUAACGAAAAAUUACAUUUUUACACUAAAAAGUCAAUCCUGGUACUAUUCACUUUACUCUUUAUUUUGUUUUUAUCGUUAAAACUCAAAGUUUUCAAGCCAUUUUCAUUAAUUUUCCUUAAAUAAAAUUGAAAGGUAUCUAAAGACAAAAGUUUAGUGCAAACAUAAUUUCCCUUUAAAAAAUUCCAACGCCAAUCACACUCCCUAUCAUAUUUAUAGGAUUGCAAAAUGGCUAGGAGCUCCUAAAUUUAAGAAGUGAGAAAGAAGCUUUUAAGGGUACAUAUUUAUUAUGACUCCCUAAAUUAGAGACUAUUGUUAUAUUAGAAAUUUUUUAUGGAGCUCCUAAAAUGGCUUUGUAACCUUUUUAGCUAAAAUUUAACUAAAAAUAGAGUACGAACCUAAUUCUAGGAUUGUUUUCCCAGAUUCAAAUGCUUGAUCGGAAAAACCGUAAUUGAUCGCCAUUCCAUUUUGUGAACAGUGGCAAUCCGAUAGUUGAAUUGUCAUGAAUUUUAAAUAUAUUAUUGUUGGUGCUAUAUGUGACUUGUAAAAACUUACGUUCAUGUACCUGAAGUUCGUAGACUUUAGAUCAAAGAUUUUAGGGUUUAGGACCCUAAAGGUGCCGCUUUGACCAAAGGGUUGACUUUCGUAUUAGCGAUUCUCAUAGCAUCAUAGUGUGUCAUUGCCAACGUGUACGACUCAGAUUUGAUAGUUGAUGGACUUGAAUCUCAGCAUAACUAGUAAAGCAAUAAUCUGGGUUAAACAAAACGGACAAAAUCCACACAAAAAAACUAAAAAACCCAUAAAGAGCAGAGGAAUGAAAUAAAAACAAGGAAAAAAAAAAAAUCAAAACACGUACCUUAUACCUUAUCUCUCCAGACUCCUUUGCCUACAGAAAGCCGAAGUACAAUCGGUCCGUAAAUGAAGCUGAACAUAGUAUGUAUGCCAUUUUUUUUCCUUUUAAAGUAAAACUGAUCGACCGGAAGUUGAAAUUGGCAGAAAAUGAAAUCAAGAGACACAGAAAAACAACGAAAUUGAAAGAAUGUAAUAUUUUUUUUGUUCUUCUGGGUUUACAGAAUUGAUUUUUCACUUUUAGAAGUAAAGCAAAGUAGAUUAAGCAAAAGAAGGUUGCUGUGAUGAAAAAACAAAACCAGACAAGUGUGUGCAAUAAGAAGAUGGAGCAAAUAAUGAGAAGGGGGAUGGGAAGAACAACUCUCUUAGCACAAGAAGAGGAGAUAAUGAAUGCAUGAGUGAGACAAUAGAGAAACUCUCACGUAGUAUGUAAUUACCCUUACAAAAGACUUAAGCGACGACCUACCUAUGACGGCAAUUAAUUUUCAUGGCAAUUAUUUAGCACUUUGGUGUGGGAGUCAACACCAACAAAUUAACAAUAUUUAUUGUAUUAUAACAUCAAUGGGGUGAAUGUUCUCCAUGAAGAAAACCUCACAAUAAGACUAUAGAGGUGCUAAAGACACUAAGUAAAUAAUUUAACCUUUUUUUUUCUUUUUAAAUUAUUAUUAUUUAGGAAAGGGGGAGGAUUCAAAACUAUUACAAUAAUUUAGAGGUGGAGAGUUUCGAACUCUAAAUGCAUGGGUGGAAACCUGAUGCUCUGUCGACUAGGAUUUUAAACCACAUACAAAUACAAUAUUUUAGCUUCCUAAACAUUUUUUUAAACUCUUAAACUCUAUACUGCUAAAAUUUAACACCUCAGUUUUACUAGAUGUCCAAAAAUUGUUUACCGAACACAAAAUGGGUGUCCAAAAUCACUCCUCAAACUAAUUAAAAUCUUCCAAUUACAUCUCCAACAUUGGAUGCGAAGCUAUUCUAUUCAAAUUUUCUUCAAUUUAAGUUACGUUAUUUGUAUAUGAUACACUUGGUCAAUUUUUUGUCAAUUCAUCUUGUUUUACCAGAAAAUUAGUUUAGAGACCUAAUUUUUAUUCAAAUGUUAACUCAAGGAUUAAGUUAACAAUUUAUCCUACCAAAAAUAAAACUUGAAGUAUAAUUCAAAGACUAUUACUAUAGUUAAGCCUUUGUAAUUUUUACCAAUAUUUGUCUAAAUUUAGACUGGAAAUACAUGCACCGGUUCCUCGAUAGAAAUUAAAGCUGGGUUGGAGGUUUCUCUGCUAAUUUGAGUAUUUGAUCCACAAAUUGAAGUUUUUCUCUAAUAUGGCUUGGAAGAAUAAAAGUUGACUGUUUUCAUUUGUGCUAUCAAACUCAAUCGUACAAUCUGAAUCCACGAGUUAAGGAGAACCACACCUUUAUCUCCUCCUGCCUAACAAUUUAAUGUUGGUUGUUAGAAAUUUAAUGUUGGUUGUUGGUUGUUACUAGUAAUUUAAUGUCGGUUGUUAGUAAUUUAAUUGAUAUGGGGCCAUUGACCCCAUUGACUCUUCCAUCAUCACACACGCUACCGUCAUUGAAACAUUUGAAAUUGAAUCACCAUAACACCGAAAGGGGUUCCCUUCGGGUUUUCUUUACGAGGAUUUUAGAAUCUUCUAAUUAUAUUCGUUUAUUGUAAAUCGUAUAGUCAGUUUUCAUUACAUAUGAUUUAUAUUUAAUUUUAAAUAAAAAAUAUUAUAAUGAUUUCUGACCGUACGAUAUUACAAUAAACGGAUGUGAUUAGAGGAUUUCCAGAAUCCUCACAAAGAGGAUCUAGGAUCCUCAUUCAUAACACCCAUUUGUUCACAUGUAAGUCCUUCCUAAUAUUCAACCUUACAGAAAAGAAUUUGAAAUCUAACAUUAUAAAAUAGAGAACUUUAACGAAAAACUCCCGGUACUGUUCACUUUAACGAAAAAUCACAUUUUUACACUAAAAAGUCAAUCAUGGUACUAUUCAUUUUACCCUUUAUUUUGUCAUUAUCAUUAAAACUCAAAGUUUUCAAGCCCUUUUCAUUAGUUUUCCUUAUAAAAUAAGGAUGUUUUUUCUGCACCAAAUUAUCUUAGAUUGAACUAGUUUCAGAGACAAGAACUAGGCUUAGCUUAAACUAAGUUGAAUAAAAAUAGUGAAGCAUUUAGUAUAGUGUCAAACUAAGUCGCAAACUGAAAUAUUUUAGACUAAAUAUUUUUGUUCAGGACAACAGAAAAUUAAGAAACAAAUGUAACACCCGGUUGUCCCACCAUCUAGCAAAACCAUUUCUAUAUACAACUAAGCAAUUAAAAUAUGUCUUCCCUCACAACGAAGCAAGUCAGUCAUUCGAUUCCAUGAGCACUAGUGCUAAUCCAGUGAAAGGAAAAACAGAUGAGAGAGGAAAAUGCCACCAAUUUAAUCAAACAGUUGGAUGAUCCAACUAGAACAAAUGGAACAUCCCAAUACUAAAUUAACCCAGUACACAGCAGAACAAGGUAAACUGCUUAAUUGUACAUUCUACAAUUUUUUACAAUAAACUCUGAAAAAUUACUAACUGCCUCAAUCAUCCGAGCUAUAUUCACCCGAUUCAGGAAGAACUGCAACAGUAGCGCAUCAACACAACUCUUUAUCCAUUAGGAGGAGACAGGUUCCAUCUGAAUUCCAUUUUAAAUCAACUAUGCUAAAUUGUGGUUGCGGCGAGAUGCUCACAUAGUAGGCAUCACCAGGAGUCCACAUGUACAGAUGAGAAUUUCCCCUGAAAAACAAGACGAGUGCACGUAGUCCACUACAACACACAUGCGAAUGGACUAAGGCCAUCUCCAACCGAUGGCUGGCCAGAGGGCUCGUUUUAGCCCUCUGGCCCUCCAAGAUUCUUCAAGAUAUUAAUAUUUUAAUGAACAGUACAAGACCAUAUUUGCCUCCGUCUCCAACCGAGGGCCAGAGGGCUCGUUUUAGCUCUGUCACAAAAAACCGUCUCCAACCAAGGACCAAAGGGCCAUAGGGCCAAAUAUAAUUUAUUAUUUAAAAACAAAUUUUGUGAAAUAAAAGUUAUAGGAAAAAAAUGGAAUUUAAAAACAAAUAUGAAAUAAAUUUUAUGAAAUACAAGUUAUGGGAAAAAAUGGAAUUUAAAAAAAAUAUGAAACAAAUUUUGUGAAAUACAAGUUAUAGGAAAAAAAUGGAAUUUAAAAAAAAUAUGAACCAAAUUUUGUCAAAUAUAAGUUAUAGGAAAAAAGUUAUAGGAAGUUUUUCUCUAAUAUGGCUUGGAAGAAUAAAAGUUGACUGUUUCCAUUUGUGCUAUCAAACUCAAUCGUACAAUCUGAAUCCACGAGUUAAGGAGAACCACACCUUUAUCUCCUCCUGCCUAACAAUUUAAUGUUGGUUGUUAGAAAUUUAAUGUUGGUUGUUGGUUGUUACUAGUAAUUUAAUGUCGGUUGUUAGUAAUUUAAUUGAUAUGGGGCCAUUGACCCCAUUGACUCUUCCAUCAUCACACACGCUACCGUCAUUGAAACAUUUGAAAUCGAAUCACCAUAUCACUCGAAAGAGGAUUUUCUUUGGAUUUCUUUAUGAGGACUUUAGAAUCUUCUAAUUACAUUCGUUCAUUGUAAAUUGUGUAUCAGUUUUCAUUAAAUACAAUUUAUAUUUAAAUAAAAAAAUUACAAUGAUUUUUUACUGCACGAUACUACAAUAAACGGAUGUGAUUAGAUGAUUUCCAGAGUCCUUACAAACACCCACCUGUUCACAUGUAAGUCCUUCCUAACAUUCAACCUUACAGAAAAGAAUUUCAAACCUUACAUUAUAAAAUAAGGAUCUUUUUACUGCACCGAAUUAUUUCAGACUAAACUAGCUUCAGAGACAAGAACUAGGCUUAUCUUUAACUAAGUUGAAUAAAAAUAGUGAAGCAUUAGUAUAGUGUUAGACUAAGUCGCAAACUGAGAUAUUUUAGACUAAAUAUUUUUGUUCAGGACAACAGAAAAUUAAGAAACAAAUGUAACACCCGGUUGUCCCACCAUCUAGCAAAACCAUUUCUAUAUACAACUAAGCAAUUAAAAUAUGCCUUCCCUCACAACGAAGCAAGUCAGUCAUUCGAUUCCAUGCGCACUAGUGCUAAUCCAGUGAAAGGAAAAACAAAAUGAGAGAGGAAAAGGCCACCAAUUUAAUCAAACAGUUGGAUGAUCCAACUAGAACAAAUGGAACAUCCCAAUACUAAAUUAACCCAGUACACAACAGAACAAGGUAAAUUGCUUAAUUGUACAUUCUAUAAUUUUUUACAAUAAACUCUGGAAAAUUACUAACUGCCUCAAUCAUCCGAGCUAUAUUCACCCAAUUCAGGAAGAACUGCAACAUCAGCGCAACAACACAACUCUUUAUCCAUUAGGAGGAGAGUUUCGAACUCUGAAUGCAUGGGUGGAAACCUGAUGCUCUAUCGACUAGGAUUUUAAACCACAUGCAAAUACAAUAUUUAGAUUCCUAAACAACACAACUCUUUAUCCAUUAGGAGGAGAGUUUCGAACUCUGAAUGCAUGGGUGGAAACCUGAUGCUCUAUCGACUAGGAUUUUAAACCACAUGCAAAUACAAUAUUUAGAUUCCUAAACAUUUUUUUUUUAACUCUUAAACUCUAUACUGCUAAAAUUUAACACCUCAGUUUUACUAGACGUCCAAAAAUUGUUUACCGAACACAAAAUGGAUGUCCAAAAUCACUCCUCAAACUAAUUAAAAUCUUCCAAUUACAUCUCCAACAUUGGAUGCAAAGCUAUUCUAUUCAAAUUUUCUUUAAUUUAAGUUACGUUAUUUGUAUAUGAUACACUUGGUCAAUUUUUUGUCAAUUCAUCUUGUUUUACCAGAAAAAUAGUUUAGAGACUUAAUUUUUAUUCAAAUGUUAACUCAAGGAUUAAGUUAACAAUUUAUCCCAACAAAAAUAAAACUCGAAGUAUAAUUCAAAUACUAUUACUAUAGUUAAGCCUUUGUAAUUUUUACGAAUAUUUGUCUAAAUUUAGACUGGAAAUACAUGCACCGGUUCCUCGAUAGAAAUUAAAGCUGGGUUGGAGGUUUCUCUGCUAAUUUGAGUAUUUGAUCCACAAAUUGAAGUUUUUCUCUAACAUGGCUUGGAAGAAUAAAAGUUGACUGUUUCCAUUUGUGCUGUCAAACUCAAUCGUACAAUCUGCAUGCACGAGUUAAGGAGAACCACACCUUUAUCUCCAGCCUAACAAUUUAAUGUUGGUUUGUAGAAAUUUAAUGUUGGUUAUUGAUUGUUAGCAUGAUCUUAAAUAUUCAUAAUAUCCCGAUAUUUCUAUCGAGAUUUUCGUGUUUUUGAACUACUGAUAUUUUUUUGGACUACCGAUAUUUUUUAUAUCAUCGAUAUUUUAGACCUUGCUAAGUCACUCAUGUAUCUUACCAUGCAAUGUAUAAAGUGUAAAAUAUUAUACUAAUUCAUUAUAUAUAAAUGAUUAUGGUGUGUUUAAACUUCUUUCAUUAAUUAUUACAUAUUUUCUACACUCAUAAUAUUUGUCAGCUUGCUAUAUAAUCAACUUAAAUCAGUUAUAUCUAUCAUGCAAUGCAUUUCCUUUUAAUUUUUUGUGAUAAACUAAUAGAUAAUUGACUAAACAAAGUUUCAAUAAAAAUUUCCAAGUUUUUCUUACAAUUUUCGUGGUUUUUAUUCAAUUUUUAUCGAUAUCGAUAAUAUCUCGAUAUUUCUAUCGAAAUUUCCGUGUUUUGAGACUACCGAUAUUUCCAAUAUCAUCGAUAUUUAAUACAUUGGUUGUUAGUAAUUUAAUGUCGGUUGACCCCAUUGACUCUUCCAUGAUCACACACGCUACCGUCAUUGAAACAUUUGAAAUUGAAUCACUAUAUCACUCGAAAGAGGAUUUUCUUUGGAUUUUCUUUAUGAGGAUUUUAAAAUCUUCUAAUUACAUUCGUUCAUUGUAAAUCGUGUAAUCAGUUUUUAUUAAAUAGGGUUUAUAUUUAAGUUUAAAUAAAAAAAUUACAAUGAUUUUUUACCUCACGAUACUACAAUAAACGGGUGUGAUUAGAUGAUUUCCAGAAUCCUUACAAAGAGGAUCCGGAAAGGAUCCUCAUUCAUAACACCGACCUGUUCACAUGUAAGUCCUUUCUAACAUUCAACCUUAUAGAAAAGAAUUUCAAACCUAACAUUAUAAAAUAAGAAUCUUUUUGCUGCACCGAAUUAUUUCAGACUGAACUAGCUUCAGAGACAAGAACUAGGCUUAGCUUUAACUAAGUUGAAUAAAAAUAGUGAAGCAUUUAGUAUAGUGUUAGACUAAGUCGCAAACUGAAAUAUUUUAGACUAAAUAUUUUUGUUCAGGACAACAGAAAAUUAAGAAACAAAUGUAACACCCGGUUGUCCCACCAUAUAGCAAAACCAUUUCUAUAUACAACUAAGCAAUUCAAAUAUGCCUUCCCUCAGAACGAAGCAAGUCAGUCAUUCGAUUCCAUGAGCACUAGUGCUAAUCCAGUGAAAGGAAAAACAAAUGAGAGAGGAAAAGGCCACCAAUUUAAUCAAACAGUUGGAUGAUCCAACUAGAACAAAUGGAACAUCCUAAUACUAAAUUAACCCAGUACACAGCAGAACAAGGUAAAUUGCUUAAUUGUACAUUCUACAAUUUUUUACAAUAAACUCUGGAAAAUUACUAACUGCCUCAAUCAUCCGAGCUAUAUUCACCCAAUUCAGGAAGAACUGCAACAUCAGCGUAACAACACAACUCUUUAUCCAUUAGGAGGAGAUAGGUUCCAUUUGAAUUCCAUUUUAAAUCAACUAUGCUAAAUUGUGGUUGCGGCGAGAUGCUCACAUAGUAGGCACCACCAGGAGUCCACAUGUACUUAUGAGAAUUUCUCCUGAAAAACAAGACGAGUGCACGUAGUCCACUACAACACACAUGGGAAUGGACUAACUGUUAGUCCAGUCCAAUGAAGUUUAUUGAAUGUAAACAAACACACACUAAAGGAUUAAGUACAAAUAACUAUUCAGCUUUUAAAGUGAUUCCAAAUUGAUCUAAUUCUUUUAAAAUAUUCUAAAUAGCUACAUAACGUUUUAAAGUGGUCAUUUGUUAGAAGACAAGCAUUCAGUGAUGAUGUCACAACCUUUAAUAGAUAAUGUCAUUAAUAUUAAGUGAUGGUUCGAACGAAUACUGAAACUAAUUUUUACUAAUGAAGCUAAUUUUUACUAACACGUCAUUUAUAGAGUGAUGAUGAAUCCCCAAAUGGACUCCUAUUUGUCUAGCUAAAAGGAAUCAGUUUAGAGAUCGAUAUUAUGCUUUGUUGAAGAUCGCUAUACUAUUGUAUUUUCUUAGUUUUCCAAGUAACUAGCGACUUUCCAAAAAUUGUACAAUAUCCACUGGUACAACUUAUAGUGUCUCGACACAUUGCCAACUGAAAUCACACAACCAAGGCUUCUCCCUUGAGGCCAAAGCUUGCAAGCUUCCAUCCGAUAAGGUGGUCGCUGACGAUUAUAAUGGUGCCUAUCUUGUUCUUGGAAUUACGACUAAUAGUCACAGUACGACUCCAAGUAGAGUAGUUGUCACAUCUCGGUUCGAGUCCCCACCACAUUCCGGGCUCAACUCCACCGUAGCACGAUAUUGUCUGCUUUGGGCCUCGACCACGCCCUCACGGUUUUGUUUCUGAGAACUCACACGAGAACUUGUGGGUCACCCAUCAUGGGACAGUCUCAUACAUCCGUUAGUAGAACUGUUAAGUCUCCCGUUAAUUGUGAUGUGGCGCCCAUGUGGACAAUGACUGAGCGCCACGUGUCAUUUAUGUGGAAAUUAAAAAUAAAUUAUUUAUAAUAUAUAUAUAUAUAUUAAAAAAAAGAAAAGCCUUCACCUUCCCCAAAUCCCACCCGUGCCCACCCUCCCAUCACCCACCUCUUCGUCUUCCCCAAAUCCCACCCUCACGCUCAGGAAGAAGAAGAAGAAGGAAGAACAAAAAAAACCCAGAAGAAGAAGAAGAAGAAGAAGAAGAAGAAGAAGAAGAAGAAGAAGAAGAAUGAGGAGGAAGAAGAAAAGCUUGCUAGCUUCCAUUCGAUAAGGUGGUCGUUGACGAUUAUAAUGGUGCUUAUCUUGUUCUUGGAAUUACGACUAAUAGUCACAACACGACUCCAAGUAUUGUAGUUGUCACAUCCCGGUCCGAGCCCCCACCACAUUCCUGGUUCGACUCCACCGUAGCACGAUAUUGUCCGCUUUGGGCCCCGACCCGCCCUCACGGUUUUGUUUCUGGGAACUCACACGAGAACUUCCUAGUGGGUCACCCAUUAUGGGAAUGCUCUCGUGCGAACUCGCUUAACUUUGGAGUUUCGAUGGAACCCGAAGCCAGUGAGCUCCCAAAAGGCCUCGUGCUAGGAAGAGAUGAGAAUAUACAUAUAAGGCUUAGAGGAUCCACUCCCCUGGGAGAUGUAGGAUGUUACAAUCUACCCCCUUAGGGGCUCGACAUCCUCGUUGGCACACUUUCGGCCAGAGAUUGGCUUUGAUACCAAAUUGUCACAUCCCGGCCCGGACCCCCACCACAUAUCGGGCUCGACUCUACCGUAACACGAUAUUAUCUGCUUUAGGUCCCGACCACGCCCUCACGGUUUUGUUUCUGGGAACUCACACGAGAACUUCCCGGUGGGUCACCCAUCAUGGGAAUGCUCUCAUGCGAACUCGCGUAACUUCGGAGUUUCGAUGGAACCCGAAGCCAGUGAACUCCCAAAAGGCCUCGUGCUAGGAAGAGAUGGGAAUAUACAUAUAAGGCUUAGAUGAUCCACUCCCCUUGGCGAUGUGUGAUGUUACAAUAACAACUAGGUAAGUACAAAACCAUUGAACAUAUAUAUAUUUGAAAAACAACUUCAUAAUAUAAAGUCAUCAAUCAUCUAUACUAUAAAGAGGUGUUCUAAACAUGUUCUAAAUAUCAUAUCGUCAUCCAUCAGAUAUUCUAUAAGAACACGGGUUAUAGAAAAAAUAGUAAUAAUUCAAAGGGCAAAAGACUGUUUACUACCCUCAUGUUUCGUGGUUUUCAACAUUUAGUACAUCAAGUUUUUUUCCGCCCAGAGUCAUACCUAAAGUGUAAAUUUUGGGACAGUCUUAUACAUCCGUUAGUCAAACUGUUAAGUCUCCCGUUAACUAUGACGUGGUGCCCAUGUGGACAAUGACUGGGCGCCACGUGUCAUUCAUGUGGAAAUUAAAAAUAAAUUAUUUAUAAUAUAUAUAUAUAUAUAUAUAUAUUAAAAAAAAAAAACCUUCACCUUCCCCAAAUCCCACCCGUGCCCACCCUCCCAUCACCCACCUCUUCGUCUUCCCCAAAUCCAACCCUUCCAUCACCAUCUUCGACUCCACGCUCAGGAAGAAGAAGAAGAAGAAGAAGGAAGAAGAAAGUGAAAAAAAAAAAAAAAAAAAACCAAACCCAGUUCAUCCCCCCAGCAAAAACCCAACCCCCUGCAACCCAUAAGAAGAAGAAGGAGGAGAAAAAAAAAUCCCAUGAGAAGAAGAAGGGAAAAAAAAAACCCAUAAGAAGAAGGAAAAAAAAAAUGGAAGGGAACCCAGUUCAUCCCCUCGAGGAGGAAGAAGAAGAAGAAGAAGAAGGAAGAGGAGGAAGAGAAAAAAAAAAGAAAAAAAAGAAAAGAGAAAACCGAACCCAGUUCGUCCACCCCCCCCCCCCCCCCCCCCCCCCCCAAAAAAAAACCCAACCCCCUGCAACCCAGAAAGAAGAAGAAGAAGAAGAAGGAAGAGAAGGAGGAGGAGGGUCCACCCCCCCCCCCCCCCCCCAAAAAAAAAAACCCAACCCCCUGCAACCUAGAAGAAGAAGAAGAAUGAGGAUGAGGAGGAGGAAGAAGGAAAAAAAAAAAAAAAAGGGGAACCCAAUUCGUCCCCCCGAGAAAGAAGAAGGAGGAAGAAGAAUGGAAAAAAAAAAAUAACCGAGCCCAGUUCGUCCACCCUCUGCAACCUAGAAGAAGGAGAAGAAGAAGAAGAAGGAGGAGGAGGAUGAGAAGGAAGAAGAAGAAGAAGAAGAAAGAAAAAAAAAAAGGAACCCAGUUUAUCCCCCCGAGGAAGAAGAAGGAGGAGGAAGAAGAAUGAAAAAAAAAGAAGAGAAAACUGAACCCAGUUCGUCCACCAGUCUCCAACCCCCCGCCCCCCAAACCUAACCCCCUGUAACCCAGAAGAACAAGAGAAGAAGGAGGAGGAAGAAGAAGAAGAAAAAAAAAAAAAAGGGAACCUAAUUCGUCCCCCCGAGGAAGAAGAAGAAGAAGAAAAAAAAAAAAAAAAAGGUACAUGAUUUUGUUUUUAAAAAAAAAUUUUGGCGGGAAAAAAUGUAAGGUACAUGGUUAUGGGAAAAAAAAAUUGGGCGGGAAUUUUUUUUUUUUAACCCCUAAAAAAAAAAAAAUCCACGUGGCGCCCAGUCAUUGUCCACGUGGGCGCCACGUCACAGUUAAUGGGAGAUUUAACACAUUAACUAACAGAUGUAUGAGACUGUCCCAAAAUUUACACUUUAGGUAUGACUCUGGGACGAAAAAAACUUGAUGUAGUAAAUGUUGAAAACCACAAAACUUUAAGGUAGUAAACAGAGUUUAACCCUAAUUCAAAAUAGCCUCAGUUAGCAUGUUAUCUCAUAAAAUGUUUCAUAAAAUGUAAUCAUUAAAUCAUGCUUUUCAUGUAUGCAUUUAUACUAUUAAAACAUGCAUUUUAGAAAGGGUCCACUCAUAGAUACUUCGCCGCUGAAGAGCCAUGCAAAUUAGCAAAGACAGAAAUGCCACAAUAAUUGCCCAUAAGCACAUAAAGGGUCCAAUUAAUAAAACUUUAUUCUAACAAUUGAAUUUGGGAAUGCGGACGUCGGAAACGGAUUCAGGACGUCAAAUUAUCCUAAGAGAGUUCCGGGCAACGGUUAUGGUGUUGGCAUAGGGCCUGAAGUGUUUUUCCUCUGGUUAUUAGCACAAGGACGAGGAGCCGACAUGGGGCCUGGGGUAAUUUUCCUCUGACUGUUUGUUUAGAGACGGGGAGCCGGCAUGGGGCCUGGAGAGUUAUUGGACAUUCACUAGUGAUUAUUAUAUAUACAAGUUAUGAUUUGAGACAUUGCACGACAUGCUAGGUUUCGGAAAACCUAUGUUUAUCAUGAUAUAUAUGUGUUUUCAUAAAACUUGGGGGUUAGUACGUUGAUAACUGUUUCGUGAACGGUUUUCCUUUGCGUGUUCGUGGGAUCAAGCUCUAUCAGAAAAUGCUAAAAGUAACCUCGAAAGAUGUACGGAUUUUUAAUGAAAAUUCAAACUUUUGAAAUACUUAAUUAAAGCUCUAAAUUAACGAAAAUAAAUUUGCAUAAUUACGAAAUAUGAAAAAUUAAAUAUUGAAAUUCGGGGAUGGGAUUUCAUACUUAGUGUGGCAUGUGUUUGUUCUUCGGUAUCGGUAGGACAAGACAUGGACAAUUACAAAACAAUAAACUUGUUUUAAAUAUUACUACCACUAAGAUAUUGUGAGGUAAAGCAUGAGCAGCAAUUACUUUCACUUUCACCUGUGUACCUUAUAUUUGGUAAUGGACAAUUCUGCUUGUCCUUGGUCCAUCUCCAAUAUUGACUUCAUUUCUCUUUUCGACUUGUUUUUGACUCCCCUUUUCUUUUAACUUGAACUGGAUAUUUAACCACCUCUCUUUGAGAACUCCUACCUCCCUAUUCACUUUUUUUUUCGACCACGGUUACCAAAAACCAAAGAGUUCAACUUCGACCACGACUACCUUCUUCUGACAUCAAUGCCUUGUUAAUAAGAUCUGAAACUUUUUUUUUUAUAAAAAAAACAGAGCUCUUUUGGACACGAUAGAAGUGUCGUAUCUUUGCCUUCACUAUCCCAAAAUAAUACUGGAUUCGGUGGUUGAAGCCACAUUUUCAAUAUGUAAGAUUGAGGCAGCAACUCUAUUUGUUUCAUUCUCAAAUAGACAAUAUGUGCCGACAAGGAAUUCCGCGAAACUCCAUCUCUUUGCAGCUACAUUUAGCAAUAUCUGAGACCGUAUCAAUCACCAUCUUCUUUGUCUUUGUCACUUAUGCAACCUUUCAAGUACUUCAUACAUGUCCUCAUUCCCAUCCACUGACUUCUCCCUCAAGAAACAAGUUAUACUCUUCAAUUCGUCCACUUAAAGCCCUUCAAACAUAAACCUGGUGUGCAAUUUGGCCAUUUGAGCUUCCAUCAGGGUGCGAAACAGCAUAAGAAGGACACAGUUUUCAUCAUUAUGGUCUUUCUGAUGUUGGCGUCCAAGGGAUCAAUUAAACGAAUGAUGAAUUCAAUUAAAGACUGCUUUCUAUUAGCAUACUGCUUGAAAAAGUAAUAAGAACACUAGGCAUGUUGACUGCUCAACAUUCUGACAGAAAAAGCGUGCUUACAAAAUGUAGAAACCCAAGCCAAGUUUCAUCGGCUAACCCAACAUAGCUUUAAGGAAUUCUUCAAACAAUCACUCAAAGCUCUCGAUUUUUUAUUUUUCAGGAAUGCACAACCCAAUACCAUGGUUUGAUCAUGGUUAUUCACUCUUAACAAAGAAGCAAAUAUCAUCCCAUCCACAAUGAUGUUGAAUGUAGUGUCAAACACAAUCACAUUACCAAAAUGGUUAUAACCACAUCUUGACUUAGCAUCCGCCCAAAAGAAAUUUCUAAGUAUUCCGCCUUAAUUCAUUCUCCAUCUUGUAAUAGAAUGACUUGUUUCUUUUUCUCAUCAUCAAAAUUCUCUUUGAGCAUUUCCACAUCAUAUGCUCAAUUAGAUGAGCUCGCAAUUGUUGUUCGACGUUAUACAUAUCCUUGGGGUGCAACCAAUUAUUCUAAUUCCUCCACCUUGCACCUCUAAUAAACCCACUUGUAUACUUAUGGAAAUAUUCGUUUGCGCACAUUGUUCAAUCAUCACCUUCUUUUCCUCUGAAACCCAAUGAUGAGAUUCAAAUCAGUGUGAUGCACUUGCCAUAGGUGGUUGUGUCUGGACUCCUUCGUUGAAAACUGUUCAGUAAACUUAUCGCGACCAAUUUCCUUAUAUAGCGCAAGUUUCGCCUGGUAGUCACUUCUAGAAUCUUCCCUCCUCCCUUUCUAAUUAGUCUGAGAUUAUCAUCUAUCCUCUUUUUGCCUUGUUUGCUACAAACAAAUUUUUUGUUUUAUAUUAAGGUUUAAUAGAAACAAACUCUUUAUUUUCUAGAUUAGGUCAGGGAAACUAUGAAGCAACAAUGUUUGUUUUUUAUAAACAUGAAGCAACAAUGUUAGGGCAACGUAUUGGAUAAGUACUCAAUGACUGCACUAGAUAUUUCUAGUCGUUUAAUUAGUUUCUUAUGAAAAUUUAAAAGGAAAGUGUUUUAUGCACACUUUUUUCCUCAUUUUGUUAAUUUAGUUUCUUGCAGGCUUAUAUCAAACAAGUUGAAAUCGGCCACGGAAGCAAGGCUUAUAUCAUUGCUGUUGGAAGUUUUGAGACUCUUGUUCCACAUUGGAGAAAACAAGAUUCUCAAUGGCCUUUAUAUAGAUUUAGUGCUUUAGUCUAGUAGUUAAAACAUGGACCAUUUGGAAAUGGAUUGAAGGUUUGGGCCUUAUGGUUGUGUGGAUUAGGCUUGUAUAAUAUAGCCUAAAUACAAUUAAUAUUAACUAAUCAAGAGGCCCUUGGGGCCUUGGAAUUUAAAAUUAAUUUGAUUCAUUAAUUUUAAUUUUCGGAUUAAGUUUUUAAUUAAUUUAUUAAUUAAAAACGUUUUGAUUAAAAGACACAGCUCUUAGAAAGAGUUGUGUACCUUCAAAUACAUUGAACAGGUGUUUGAAAGGGUGUGAAACAGCCUAUAUAUUUGCAAUCACAGUAUCCAAAUGAAUUAUCUUUUCUUGCUCUUUUCUUCUGUACGAAUUUUCUAGAGAGUAAACACACAAAAAGCAAAUUCGCUAGAGUUCUAGAACCCAGUGCAGAUUGUAAAAUCAGGUAGUUGAAUUCUGGUCGAGCAGACGUUGUAGAACCACAAGCACAUGAGCGAGACGUAAAUACUGUUCGAAGGACAUAGCUUUUACGCUAGCCUCUACCUUCUGUAAUCAAGUUAGUAACAUUAAUAUUCUUAUAUUAAUUUCUGUAUUAUUGUGUAAUUUUCUUUUUGCAUAGCAAGUAUAUUUUGGUUAAUAAAAUAUUAGAAUUUCUGUUAUUUUUGUUUAUUUCUGAAUUGUUCUCUAACAAUCUUCGAACAAUAUGGAACAAUCAGGAACUAAACCUCAUUCUGAGAAGCCUGAGAAAUUUAAGGGCGGAGAUUUCAAAAGAUGGCAACAGAAGAUGCUGUUUUAUUUGACAACACUGAACUUGGCUAAUGUUCUGCGCGAAACUGAGCCUACUGCAGAUGGAGAAAAUAUAUUUUCUGUAGAAACUUUAACGGCCAUAGAUGCCUGGAAACAUAAUGAUUUCCUCUGCAGAAACUAUAUUCUCAAUGCAUUAGAUGAUUCGUUGUAUAAUGUCUAUGUGGUAUUCAAAAUAGCCAAGGAACUUUGGGAAUCACUUGAGAAAAAAUAUAAAACCGAGGAUGCUAGUUCAAAGAAAUUUGUCGUGAGCAAAUUUUUGGACUACAAAAUGGUGGAUUCCAAGUCUUUUGUCUCUCAAACUGAAGAUCUCCAGAAAAUCAUCCAUGACGUUCAUGUUGAAGGGAUGGUAAUCAAUGAGUCUUUCCAAGUGGCGUCCAUUAUACAAAAACUGCCACCUUCUUGGAAAGAGUUCAAGAGUUAUCUCAAGCACAAACGUAAGGAGAUGACCCUUGAGGAUCUCAUUGUAAGGCUGAGAAUUGAGGAAGAUAACAGAAAAAAUGAGAAGGGCCUGGUUUCGAGUAUGGAAGCCAAGGCGAAUGUUGUUGAAGGAAGUUCAUCAAAGCAAAGGUCGAAAUUCUAGAAAACUAAGAAGAAGGAAAGCCACUUUAUCCUUGGUGUGAAAGGCAAAGACUUCAAGAAAAUCAAGGGAAGUUGCUGGGUUUGUGGAAAGCAAGGCCAUAGGGCUCAAGAAUGUCGCCAUCGAAUGGAUCAAGGUCCAGGAAAUCAAGGCAACAACAACCGCGCAAACCUGAUUGAAAACAAUGUGGAUGCCCUGGCUGCAAUGAUUUCUGAAAUCAACCUUGUAUCUGACUACGCUGAUUGGUGGAUAGAUACUGGUGCAACUUGCCAUGUAUGUGGUGACAUAAAUAUGUUCUCUUUGUACCAGAAAAUCGAGGGAAACAAGCAGCUGUUUAUGGGAAAUGCAUCUGCAUCUGUUGUGGCUGGAAUAGGGAUGUGUGUUCUGAAAUUCACUUAUGGAAAGGAGUUAACCCUCCUUAACGUGCUGCAUGUCCCCGAUAUAAGGAAGAAUCUUGUUUCUGGUCCUAUCCUUAGUAAUAAAGGAUUCAAACUAGUUUUUUAGUCCAAUGAGUUUGUACUAACUAAAGGGGGAAUGUUUGUAAGGAAGGGUUACCUUGCUGAUGGAUUAUUCAAACUAAAUGUACUUGCUAAUGCUAUGAAUGAAAUAAAUAAUGCUUCUGCUUAUAUUGUUGAUUCGUCUCAUUUAUGGCACUCUAGGUUAGGAUAUGUAAAUUUUUCGUUCUCUUUUUAGAAUGCAUAAUUUAGGUUUGCUCCCCAAAAUUGAUUAUCUAGAUAAUGUUAAAUGUGAAACUUGUACAGAAUCGAAAUUUGCAAGUCAAAGCUUUAAAUCAGUGCAUGAAAAAUCCAAUGAUUUGUUAGAUUUAAUUCAUAGUGACUUGUGUGAUUUUAGAUCAUAUCCAACUCGUGGUGGAAAGAACUAUUAUGUAACAUUUAUAGAUGAUUUCAAUAAGUAUUGUUAUGUUUAUUUACUUCAUAGCAAAGAUGAGACCUUGGAUAUGUUUAAGACAUAUAAGGCAGAAGUUGAAAAUCAACUUAACAAGAAGAUUAAAGUCUUAAGGUCCGAUAGGAGAGGAGAAUAUGAGUCUCAUGCAUUUGCUGAAUUUUGUGCCACACAUGGCAUAAUUCAUCAAAUAACAGCCCCCUAUACACCACAACAAAACGGUGUUUCCGAACAAAAAAAAGGACUUUUAAAGACAUGAUCAAUUCCAUGUUGAAUAGCUCUAGGCUUCCACACAAUAUGUGGGGCGAAGCUUUACUUACUGCAAAUAAAAUUUUGAAUCGAAUUCCACCUAAAACGAGAAAGGAGUCACCAUAUGAAUUAUGGAAAGGAAGAACUCCAACGUUUAAAUUGCUUAAAGUGUGGGGUUGCCAAAGAGAACAAAAUUAGGGCCUAAAACUAUAGAUUGUGUUUUUAUUGGUUUUGCAUCUAAUAGUUCAGCUUAUAGAUUCUUAGUUUUUCAUUCCGAAGCAAGUGAUAUACAUGUCAAUACUAUUAUAGAAUCUAUAAAUGCAAUAUUUUUUGAGGAUAUUUUUCCAUACAAAAUAGGCAAGUCUAAUUUAUUAAAAAAAAGAUUACAUGAUGAUGUAUCUAAGGUUACUAACGAACCUAGAGAACAUGAUGAUGGUUCAACCUCGUCUAGAGUUCAAGAAGAGGAAGAACUUGAACCUAGAAGAAGUAAAAGGACAAAAAUUUGAAAGGACUUUGGGCCUAAUUUUGUGACCUUAUUAACCGAGACAGAACCUCAAUCAUUCAAGGAGGCCAUUUCCACUCCUGAAGCUCCAUUUUGGAAGGAUGCAGUUAAUAGUGAGAUAUAUUCCAUUAUGCAAAAUCAUACAUGAGAAUUAGUCGAUUUGCCCUCUGGCAAUAAGCCAAUUGGGUACAAAUGGAUCUUUAAGAAGAAAUUAAAACUAGAUGGUACAAUUGACAAAUAUAAGGCUCGUUUGGUAACUAAAGGAUACCAAACCAUUAUGAAGUAAUUUUUCGUUUACCUUAUGGAUGCAUCUAACUUCCUCGUUAGACUGCCUACGUACCCUCAAUAGGGAUCAAGCCAUUCGUAGUUCACUUAUCACAAAAUCAGACGUUUAUUCCACUAAGUUCAAGCAGAAAAGCAUAGCAUUCCUCAAUCAUUUAUUAUAACCUGUCAACAUGUAAUCCCUGGACUCAGGCUACAUAACCAAUCCCCAUGAAAACAUGAUUUCUCUCCCAUCCAACAUAUAAAUCAUUAUGUCUCAUCAUGAUAUCGCAAUUCACAACACACAUCAUAUUUAAGAGCCGACGAAACACAAAACCAUUCUUUAGCCGCAUUAAUUAAUUAAUUUGAUCAAGUAAUAACAGUCAUUCCCAUAUCUUCUAAAUUCAUACCAUAUGAAAUCAUAAUCAAAUCAUAGAAAAUCCCGAAGGAGUCACUCAGACGUCCAACAUCUUUUCUAACUCAAUUCACAAGACUCUCGAAACCAUUGACACAAAUAUAUAUAAAACUAAGGCUAGAGUGACACAGUUAGGCCAAGCCUACUUCUCCAAAUAAUGGGAUUUUAGGCCACUCCACGAAAUUCAACAACCUCGGGUUCCGGACUACUCAACGGAACCAACCCAAAUAUGAUCGCCUAUAAAAUGUACCAGGUACAACCAAUCAUCAUCACCUCUAGAAUGCGCAUGGUCCCCCAUCGCGAAUAUACCAAGCAGAACCAUAGGCAUAAUCUCAUCGUGCAUGCAGUGAUCACCCAUCUCGGAUAUACCAAGCAUGAUCACCCCUGAAUACAUAUGGUCCCCCAUUGCGGAUAUACCAAGCAGAACCAUAGGCAUAAUCUCAUUGCUAUGAUUUACAUCGUAAUCACUUGCACUAUCAACUUCUCAUGACCACUAUCUUAUCAUACAAGCAUAAAAGUUCUACAUAAACUUCUCAUAAGAUUUUGGGUUUACAUCGUCAUAAAAACAAUCAUUCACAUCAUACAUAUCCAACCACAUUUCAUAACAUUUCCAAACUACAGUAGAUUCACAAUUACUAAACAUAGAUCGAUGCUAAAAAUAAAAAUAACAAUUCAAUAGGAAGCAUAUCUAAUCAACAAGUAUAACUCAAUAUGGUGCCACUAAUACAUAUAUCGAGACACACGUCAACUGGGAAUGACACGUCAUCAUGAUGAGCCAACUAAGCUCCAUCAAGCCUCAACAACAUACUAGAGGUAAGCGACCUCAAGAGUAGAGCACGUUGACUAGAACGUCAACCGUCGAUAAGGUAGGUCCAUUAAGGUCAACAACCUAAGGUUAUUUGAUCCAGAAGAUCCACACAUCGGAUUUCCUAUCUAUAAGUUCUCAAAGGUCUAACAACUGAUAACUAGGGUGUUCACAAAAUUGUACGACGAACCAACGAUCGGAUUGUCAUCAAUCACACAAACAAGUGGCUGUCCAAUUUGAUUACCACACCAAACAAUUGAAUUUCGGGAAACCGAGCUAGACAUAGGUUCACAAGGUCACUAGAAGGUAUUUGAUACUUAGACAACACUCGUGGAUGGUCACACGCGGUGGUAGCCAAGGUGGAGGGUUUAGAAACCCCUAAUUUUCAACAUGAACUAAAUGAGCUCAAAUUUAUAUGGUAGCUAGAGCUCAACAAGGGAAACACUUUUCACAACUAGGCCAAUGAUAAAUUCUAACCGGAAACUGUCCAAAUUCACCGAAGAAAACCGGAUUUCUAGGGUUCUAAACACCCAACUCUAAAAUGAAUACGAAAGCACAAACCAAGCAUAUCAACUUGAAGAUUAUGAAGAGUAGAUGAAGUUUCCUACCUCACUCGAAGGAAAUGGUUGCUGGAAUCACAUGAAAAAUGACAAAAUCGCCAGAAACCCACAUAAAUUUUCUGCCUCAAACUAGAAAAAUGGAUAAUAAAAUGGAAAAUUUAACACUACAGAGAUGUAUGGCUCGUCAAGAGCUUUCUAUGGACACCAAGAUCACCCAAAACGGAGCUCGGAUGAAGGAGAUAUGAGUGGGUCAAGUUGGCGGGUUAAAGGGUUGAAAUCGCCCCAAAAAGGGGUCAAAAUCAGACCCCUCCUUUUUUUUUUUUUUUUCAGAAACCUUCCCCCCCCCCCCUUUUAUUUGAUUGGUCCUUCUCCUGCUAGCUAAUUAGUCCUCUUAUUUUUGCUUAAAUCUGAUUAAGCUUCUUCCUCGUGGAAGUUUAAUCGAUUUAAAAUCUAUAGUUUAGUAACACAACUUCAAAUGUCCGUAAUUAUACCAUUAUAAUCCAGGCUCGCAAACGGCUUUCGCCAAUACAUUCGUGGUUUCGAGAUCUAUUCGAAAACGCUACUUGUGACCUCGAAAGGUCAACGAGUAAAUAAUAAUUUUCCAAACUUCACUCUUUGUAACUAGUUUAAUUGAAAUCCAAAUUCAAAUAAAUAAAUAUAAAUUUUCGAAAAAUAAUACAAAAUCUCAAUAAUACAAAUACGUAGAUUAUAACAAUGAAAUCCAGGAACGGGAUUUCACAAAUUGGUUGAGUGAUAUCCAAUUAGAAACAUGCAGCCCUGGAUAAGAACUCCGAACUUGGGGUAGAUUAUGAAAUCCCAUAGAUGUUACUUUAGGGAACCCGAACUCGUGUUGUUUCUGGUCCUUCUUCCUUUGCAACAAUUUCCCCCCGUUAAACCACAAUUCUCAACCUUCAACUUGCUUAGCUACUUAAGAUCUUUGGCCACUGAGGCGGGGAAGACAUUUUUCAAACUUUCACAUGCUUCUAUCUUAACUGAAUUUAGAUUUGUUCAAAUCCAUUCAACUGAGUGGUAGAUGAUGUGUCAUAUACCACUUGUACUAAUUGACAUUGCUAUAUUUUUAAUGUCUCUAGACCAUUCAAUCUUCCCAUGAUACUUGACCCAAAGAUAUUAAUCAGACUGUGGCAUCUACAAACAUCUAUAAUUCUGAUCCUGCCAAAAGAGUCUGGAUCAAGUUGAUUGUGGAAUAUUAUCUUCAACUUAGGUAAGUCCUAUAUGUACAAUCUCUCCAAGCUAGAAAAUCCUACCUGCCACAUAUUUAUUUUAGAACUUAUGGACAAGCCUUUUUUUACUUUCACAAAAGUAGGACUCCAUAACCUUAGACAGAAGAGGAACGUUUGGUUAUAUUCUGUUUUGUCGUUGGUUUCCCUGGGCUGCACUAGUCUCAGUACAACUCGGCGGCUCCUCCUUCUAGUCUACGCUGUCGGCAUCCCGGCUCUGUCCUCUACCCGCCUUCCAUCCUUCCUUGGCAAUUGUAAGUCCUUAUUCACUUGUUCUUUAUCUUCUUUUCCUUUUUCUUGUAAAUUAAUUUAUAAGAUUGUUUUUGAAUUCUGAUAUUGUGAUUUUACAUUUAAGAAUCAAUGUUGAUGGGUUUUUAGUUGAUAGAUUUUUUUAGGGAUUUUAGGAUUUUGAUAAAUGCGCAAUUUCUAAUUUCACAUAAUUCCUUACUUUUUAGGGAUUUAAAGGCUUAGUUGAGUUAAUAGUAAAGACGGGAGAUGCUAUUCAGAAUGCGGGAACAACUUUACAUGGUCAUUUUGGUCACCUGUUUGCUGAUACAUGGCUGAUUAUGCAAGAGUUCAAGCAAUGGAAGAUUUCCUUCGGACCAAGAGAGACGAACAGAGUGGCACAUAGGCUUGCACGGUUGAGUUUAACGCUUGACCAUCCAAUUUCUUGGUUUGAAGAACCCCUGAUAUUAUUUUUGAUUUAUUAUUGGAGGAUAGUCUUUAUAGUUAAAUUGGUGCGGGACACUCUUUUUUCCUUCGAUUGGAUUGAAAACCCUGACAAGGUUUUUAUUGAGAUUCGUGUGAUGUAUGCUCACCACCAUUUAGUGUGGUGUAUGCUCAACACCGUAUUUAUCACCAUUAGAUGAGUUUGAAUUUCGAGAUUCGCACGAAUCUCGAAAUUCAAACUCAUCUAACGGUUGAUAAUGUCACAUUCCGGCCUGGGGCCCCACCACAUCCUAGGCUCGACUCCACCGUAGCACGAUAUUGUCCGCUUUGGACAUCGACCACGCCCUCACGGUUUUGUUUCUUGGAACUCACAUGAGCAGAAUUGUGAAAUCUCGUUCCCGGAUUUCACUGUUAUAAUCUACGUAUUGUACUAUUGAGAUUUUAUAUUAUUUCUCCAGGAUUUAUUUUAAAUUGUUUGAAUUUAGAUUUUAAUUAAACUAGUUACGAAGAGUGAAGUUUGAAAAAUAAUUAUUUAAAAUUCGUUGACCUUUUGAGGUCACAAGUAACGUUUUCGAAUAGGUCUCGAAGCCACGAACGCAUAGGCGAAACCGUUUGCGAGUCCGAAUUAUAACAGUAUAGUUACAGACGUUUGAAGUUGUGAACUAUAGAUUGUGGAAAUUGUUUAAAUUCCACAUGUUGCUAAAGGUUAAGUGAGUCUAAUAAUAUUAAAAGGAGACGAUCAGAUUUUUAAGGGAGGUCUGAUUUUUUUGACCCGUUUUGGGCGUUUUCGACCCAUUAAAACCACAAACUUGAUCCACUUGUAUCUUUUUCAUCCGAUCUUCGUUUUAGGUGAUCUUGGUGUCCAUGAAAAGCUCUUGACGAGCCCUACAACUCUGUAGUGUUAGAGUUUCCAUUUUCUUAUCCAUUUUUCCAGUUCGAGGCAGCAAAGUCCUGUGGGAUUUCAGGCGAUUUUGUCAUUUUUUCGGCGAUUCCGACAACCAUUUCCUUCAAGUGAGGUAUGAAACUUCAUCUACUCUUCAUAAUCUUCAAGUUGGUAUGCUUGGUUUGUGUUUUUGUAGUCGUAUUAGUGUUGGGUGUUUAGAACCCUAGAAAUCCAGUUUUCCCGGUGAAAUUGGAUGGCAUACGGCUUGAAUUUGUCGUUGGCCUAGUUGUGAAAAGUGUUUCCCUUGUUGAGCUCUAGUUACCACAUAAAUUUGAGCUCAUUUAAUUAAUAUUGAAAACUUGGGUUUUCAAACCCUCCACCUUGACUAUCCUGCGUGUGGCGGUGCGUGGGACCGUCCACGAGUGUUGUCUAAGUACCAAAUAGCUUUUAGUGAUCCUAUGAAUCUAUGUCUAGCUCGGUUUCUCGAAAUUCAAUUGUUGGUGUGGUGAUCAAAGUGGACCGCCACUUGUUUGUGUGGUUGAUGACAAUCCGGUCGUUGGAUCGUCGUACAAUUUUGUGAACACCCUAGUUACCAGUUGUUGGACCUUUGAGAACUUACAGAUCGGAAAUCCAAUGUGUGGAUCUUCCGGAUUGAAUAACCUUAGGUUGUUGACCUUAAUGGACCUACCUUAUCGACGGUUGACGUUCUAGUCAACGUGCUCUACUCUUGAGUGUCGCUUAUCUCUUGUUUGUUGUUGAGGCUUGAUGGAGCUUAGUUGGCUCAUCUCGAUGAUGUUUCGUUCCUAGUUAAUGUGUGUCUCGAUUUAUGUAUUAGUGGCACUGUAUUGAGUUAUACUUGUUUAUUAAAUGUGCUUUCUAUUGAAUUGUUAUUUUUAUUUUUAGUAUCGAUCUAUGUUUAUUAAUUGUGAAUCAACUGUAGCUUGGAAACGUUUAUGAAAUGUGGUUAGAUAUGCAUGAUUAGUAUGAUGUGUAUGAUUGUUUUUAUGACGAUGUGAACCCAAAAUCUUAUGAGAAGUUGAUAGUGCAAGUGAUUACAAUGUAAAUCAUAACGGAUGAGAUAAGGGUAAGUGGUUCAUGUGUUGAUCUAACUGCACCAUGUAGACGUGGUACAUGGAUGGUCCUGCUUGGUUAAUCCACGUUGGGGGACCAUACUAUAUAUGGAUCGUGCUUGGUUAAUCCGCAUUGGGUGAUCACUACCUAACAGUUUUGUAGGUGUGACUCUACUUGGUUAAUCCACGUUGGGGGUCACUACCUACAUGAUUAUCUUGACCUUGCUUGGUUAAUCAUCAUUAAGGGAUCACUAGUGAUCCUGCUUGGUUAAUCCGCGUUGGGGGACCAUACUUUAUAUGGGUCGCGCUUGGUUAAUCCGCGUUGGGCGAUCCUUAUGGCCAUGUAUGCUUAGGAAUGAUCAUGCUUGGUUAAUCCGCAUUGGGUGAUCACUUCCUAACAGUUGUAGGAGUGACUCUGCUUGGUUAAUCCGAAUUGGGGGGUCAUUGCCUACUUGGAUACUUUCUCAGGGGUGGCUCUGCGUGGUUAAUCCGCUUUAGGGGGCCACUUCCUGUUUGAUUACUUAUGUAGGCUUCGGCUAAAAUGCAUUCCUCUAGCCCUAGUUUUAGUGCACAUAUGAAUGAUGGUUUUUGAGAAUCUUGGUGGUUUGAAUGGGAAAUGUCGAUGGAUGUUUGGGUGACUCUUUCGGAGUUGCAGCAACUUGAUUAUAAUUUCAUACAACAUGAUUCUACACUCGAUGUUUAUAGAUUGCGAUCGAUGAUCUGUUUUUACUAAAUAUCACAUAAUUGUAUUAUUGUCACUUACCCGAGCCUCGCAGUUUAUUUUAAGUGUCUGAUUGGCCAAAAGUACCAUUUCUAUGAUGUAGGCACUGCUUUUACAUAUGACAGGUCUGAGUAGAUUAUGAGAAACUGCUUGAUAUUUUGGUUCCGUUGAGUGGUCCGGAACCCGGUGUUGUUGGAUUCCGUCUAGUGGUCCGGAAUCUUUGCUCUUGCUCAUCCCCAUAAGAUUAGUCUAGAACCCUAGAUUCGAGUGAAUGAGAAUUACCCACAAUAGACCUUGUGAAUAUAAAAUAGAGUUACCAUGUUAUUGCUCAUAACCCAAGUAGGGAAUUAUGUAGAGUUCCUUAAUUAAAUUCAUGAAAUAAUAUGCUAUCUCAUUGAUUAUUUAAUGUAAUUAAAUAUUAAUAUUAUGCUUUGUGAUUCCUUGGUAUGUUAUAAGCUAUGGACUGAGAUAUAAUGUUGGAAGCAUAGUGAUUGGUAUGAUGUAGUGAAAUGUGAUUUGACUUGUGUAUUGGAAAUGGUUGUGACAUGUGAUUGAAAUGCAUAUUGAAUUGCUUGGGAGAUGUGAGGUCUAGUAAUGGACCGAUAACCUAUUGUGAUGGGGAUUUGUUGCUCAAUAUUGUUUCAUUUCGUUGAGUCUUUGUGAAUUGAGUAACUUGAAUCAUGUCUUGUUCCUUCGAGCCGUUGUUAUGCUUCUUGGACUUCCAUUUAGUUCUGUUGAGUGGUCCGGAACUGAGUUCUACUUGGAUUCCGUUAAGUGAUGGUCCGGAAUCCCUUCUACUCCGCGAUUCUGUUGAGUGAUGGUCCGGAAUCGUAUCCUGAUUGGAUUCCGUUGAGUGAUGGUCCGGAAUCCCCUUUGGUGCCUUGGUUCCAUUGGGUGGUCCAAAGUCCCCUUUUCCAGAGAUGUAGUCUUCGAUUGAACUGUGUCGCUCUAGCCCGCAUUUCAACUUGUUGUAUGUGUUAUUGAUGAUGUGAUGGUUGGCAUUAUUAUUAAUUGAUGUGAUUAUGGAAUAAUGUUGGUUGUGAUUGUUGUCAUUAUGAUUAGACUCGUUGAUCAUUUGGUUAAAGGAUAACAUGGUGAACUACGAAUGGCUUGAUCCCUAAUGAGGGUACGUAGGCAGUCUAACGAGGAGGUUAGAUGCAGCCAUAAAAUAUACGAAAAGAAAAAUUUACUAUGAGAAUAGAUUCUCGAGUUGUGAUUUGCCUUAUUUCAGAUGCGGGGUAUGUUGAGAUACAGGUUUAGGUGACGUCACGUGUCGAUCCUGGACGUAUGUCGGGAUCGGGACGUGACAAGAACUUCCCAGUGGGUCACCCAUCCUGUGAAUGCUCUGACCCCAUUCUUGCUUAACUUCAGAGUUCCUACGUAACCGAAGCCAGUGAGCUCCCAAAAUGCCUCGUGCUAGGUAGAGAUGUGAAUAAAUAUAAGGCUUAUAUAAUCCAUUCCCUUAGGUGAUAUGGGAUGUUACAAUCCACCCCCCAUUAGGGGCCCGACGUCCUCGUCGACACACUUCCGGCUAGGGAUUGGCUCUAAUACCAAAUUGUCACAUCCCGGCCCGAGCCCCCACCACAUCCUGGGCUUGACUUCAUCGUAGCACGAUUGUCUGUUUUGGGCCCCGACCAUGCCCUCAUAGUUUUGUUUCUGGAAACUCACAUGAACAGAACUUCCCAGUGGGUCACCCAUCCUGGGAAUGCUCUGGCCCCAUUCUUGCUUAACUUCGUAGUUCCUACGAAACUGAAGCCAGUGAGCUCCCAAAAGGCCUCGUGCUAGGUAGAGAUGUGAAUAUACAUAUAAGGCUUACAUGAUCCACUCCCUUGGGCGAUGUGGGAUAUUACAAAUCAAUAGGGUAAUGAACAUACAACACACUACAUGGUGGUGAGCAAAAAUGCACUCCACUGUUAGCACCCUAUCCUCAAAUUUGUACAUAUUUCUACAAUUCAAUGAAUAUCGUACUUGCAUAAAAAAAAUAGUAAAGACGGGAGCUUUGAAUAAUUUCACAUAAACGUCUAAUUUCGAACUUCUGAAGUGCUCCAGCCAAAUUGAACUUCCUGAUUGGUACUUCAUUAGAUCUGCAUCCGUGGCAAGGAAAGUCUACUUGAGUGCUGGUCUUGGUGUUGGUGCCUUCAGCAGGAUCUAUGGAGGGAGCAAGAGGAACUGAAGGAAAACAGAGCAGUAUGCAACUCUUUUUGCUUUGUUUUGCUUUUUCUACUAAACUUCUUCUGGACACAACUGCAUAGUGGAAGCAAAAGUCGGGUUAUACAGCACUUGCAAAGUAGAAACUAUGCUACGAAAUAGAUGUUUCUUGAUCAUCAAACAACAAAGACUAAAAAGAUGACGAAUGACUUUCUGAAAACAAUUUUUAUAAUCCAAAAACUUGGUUGGUAUUGAGCUACAUGCAAACAUUUAUGACUGGCUUUGAAUUUCACUUAGACAUUUUAACAAACACAUAUCUGUGCACUUUAAGCCCUGCAGAAAAUGAAAUGAAGAACAAUUCGCUCGUUGAAGACUAACAAGUUUCAUUGAAAAUGUGUCUAGUGCCCAUAUCUAAAAUGUCAAAAACUAGUAAAUUUGUGUUUGAUAGUAAAGGUUUUGUAAUAUACAUUUUAAGAUAGUAACAUGGGGGUGGCGAUGGUGUUUGCAGCUAGAGUGGUGUUGGUAGCAAGGUGGUUGAGGUCAGUGGCGAAGCCAAGUGAGGGCGCGAAGUGGCGGCCGCCACUCCCCUCGCCGGGAAACACCACUGGACCCAGCUCUUCACCACUCCCCUCGCGCGCGCCUCGCCGGAAAACCCUGGUUCAUCUCCUUUGUUUUUUUUGGGCAAUCUGCAAUCUAUUCUGUGCGGAGUGCUGUUAAUUUUUUUUUUAAAACCAGGCCAAAACGAUGUCGUUUUGGGCCUGGUAAAAAAAUUUUAAAAAUUGUAAAACAAAAAGGCACCGUUUUUAUAUUUGAAUUAAAAAAAAUUAUAAAGGGGGACCGCUUCUACGUGUCGCCCCAAAACCCUAUAUGUCCCCCCCCCCCCAUACCCCAUUCCCCUUUACUUUGCUUAUCCUAUGCUGUUUGUUCACCAAUCAACACACAAAGAGAGAGGCCAAGCUGCUCCCCAAAAUCCCAGCAACCAAGCCAAGGCAAGUCCCCUUUAAUUUAUGUUAAGCCUUCACAGUUCACAAGUCAUUAUCCUCUCCACCUUGAGCUUGAGCCGUCGGCUUCCACCAAUCACCAUUUAAAGGUAAAUUUUUUAAUUCUUAAAUGUAUAAUCCCUAACCCUAAUUAAUUAUUUAAUACAAAUUUCAUUUAAUUGGUAUAGAAUCAUAUGGUAAUGCAUUAAUAUGGUUAUUGAUUAUUGAUGUGAAUCAUAUGCUUCUAUGAUUAUUGAUUUGAAAUUAUGAAAUUAUAUUUUAGGGUGAAAUUAUUGAUACGAAUUGGGAAUUAGAAGAAUUGUGCUUUUAAUUUGCUUCUUACUCUUAUCAUAUGUAUGUAUAAUUGUACAUAUAGAUAAAUUGGCAUGUCAAAAGCCAUCUUUAACUAAAAUUAUUGGUAAUAAGCCACCAGGAUGGACGCAAUGAGCCAUCUUUAACUAAUAUUAGUACUUUUGAUUAAUUGAAUUGUUGGUUGGUUGGAUUAGUUAUUAUGCAUACUAUAAUAAUAGUAUAGUCUACUUUAGGAUUAAGAGUCUAAGAAUUUUUAUUUCUUUCCAUUUUACAGUUACGUAAUAGAACGAUACUAUAAGAAACAAUGCUUAAAUCCUCCUUCAAACAUUUCGAGUAGUCAUUCUCCUUCAAAUAUUCCGAGUAGUCCUCCUCCUCCUUCAAAUAUUCCAAGAGGUCCUCCUUCAAAUAUUCCAAGUAGGUCACAACAAAGUGAAGCCACUGAGUUGGAUGAAAUAUUGGCUAAUCUUCCUGCAGACCCUGCACAUAGACGUCGAAUGUUUGAUUAUCCACCUAAUUAUCGUGAAGCAAUUCGUAGACACUAUCUCCAAGUCGAUCCUUGUCAACCUAGAGACCACAUCAUGCCAAGAAAGGUUAGCGACAAUCGAUGUUUUAUCAUUCGUUGCUUUGAUAAGUUUAAGUGGUUGGAGUAUAGUAAAUCAAAAAAUGCUGCAUUUUGCCGUUAUUGUUAUCUUUUCAAAUGUGAUUUUGAUCAAACGGGUAGCACUGAAAGGGAUGUCUUCACUGAGAUAGGGUUUACAAAUUGGAAGAAAGGACCCGAAAAUCUUCGAGUCAAUGAAGGAGGUGUUGGAAGUCUUCAUAAUAAAGCUAUACAACAAGCUAGAGAUUUGAUGACACAAAAACAACACAUUGAAACAUUUGUGAUUAAGCAAACCGAUGAAGCUCGCAUUAAUUAUCGUACUUUAUUGAGUGCCUCACUUGAGUGCACAAGAUGGUUGUUGGGACAAGGUUUUCUUUUUUGUGGCCACGAUGAAUCGUUGAAAUCAAGCAAUAGGGGCAAUUAUUUGGAGCUUAUGCAAUUUCUUUCCAAGCAUAAUGAACAAGUUAGGAAGGUUGUGUUUGAGAAUGCUCCCAAGAAUCUUAAGUAUACUUCUUCUGAUAUUCAAAAAGAUCUUGUCAGUGCUUGUGCCAUUGAAACUGUAGAUGCAAUCACUAAAGAUAUGGAAGGUGCAUUUUUUUUCUCUUUUGGUUGAUGGAGCACGUAAUUCUUCAACUAAAGAGCAAAUGGCAGUGGUAUUGCGUUAUGUGAAUAAAAAAGGAGAAGCAAUUGAAAAGUGUUUGGGUGUUCAACAUGUCUCCUCUACAACUAGUGGCUCGCUUGAAGAGGCCAUUAAGAGAUUGUUUGCUACAACAAAUUUGAGUAUGUCCAAGUUACGAGGACAAGGCUAUGAUGGAGCUAGCAAUAUGAAAGGUGAGUUAAAUGGUCUUAAAACAAAGAUUUUGAACAAAUACCCUUAAACAUUUUAUAUUCAUUGUUUUUCACAUCAACUCCAACUAGCUCUUGUAUUCGUGGCAAAGGAAAAUGAGGAUGUUGCCAAUUUCUUCAUCAAAGCUAGUAGUUUAGUGAAUCUUAUUGGAUCAUCGUGUAAGCGUCAUGAUGCAUUUAGAGAGAAACAACAAGAACAAAUUCAUAAAGCUCUUGAUCUUAGUAAUCUUGAAACGGGUAAAAGGUUAAAUCAAGAAAUGAGUCUCAUGUGUCCAUGUGAUACACGGUGGAACUCGUAUUAUGGUACUAUAGUUAGUAUUAUUGUUAUGUUUGAAGCCGUGGUGGAGGUGGUUGAAUGGAUAAAAAGUGAUCGCAACCAAGAUAAUCUCGGUGAAGCAACUAGGUUUUUCAAAGACAUACAAACUUUUGAUUUUGCAUUUCACCUUUUCUUGAUAAGACUUAUAUUGGGAAUUACAAAUGAGUUAUCACAAACAUUGCAAAAGAAAGAUCAAUAGUAGGGUGGCGGUAGAGGGGUGUUGGUACCAGUAUUGGUGAGAUAUGCACAUUGGGUGGCGGCAAGAGUAGGGUGGUGAGGGGAAAAUAGUGGUAGGUGACGAUGGUGAUGCUGGCGCAGGAGGUGGAGAUUGUGGUGGCUAUGAUAGCAGGGUGACGGCCAUGGAGACAGUGGUGAUGGUGGUGGGAGAUAGUGGUGACUGGCAUUGCCAUAUCUCUGGCAUCUGUAAACAUGAACGUUUAUCAGCCUGGAAAAAGAGUCUAGCAAGUUGGUCGUGCCAUAUUAUUUGUGAUCAACUUAGGCAAAUCGUAGAUGAUUAGUCUCUCCAAGUUAGGAAAUCCGACCUACAUACACACACACACACACACACACACACACACACACACACACACACACAUUAAUCUUUUUUAGUGCGAUAGAUUAAUCGGAAAUAAAUGCAUAAACAAAGAGAAAUGCAUGAGUAAUAAACAUUUUCAUCGAAAAGAAAAUAUUGCACAGCAGUCUCAAGAUUCUCCUUCCAAUCCUUCUCUUCAGUUUCUUUGUGUUUUGUAAUACUUUCACUCUUACCAUCAAAUAUGAAUGCCCUCAGUUUAAGACAAUCUUCAAAGCGGAUCGUUCAAUAUGUGUAACUUCCUGAGCAGAAUCUAGCGGGAGAUGUUGCAGUUGUAGAUGUUUUAGCUUGCAAAACCUGUUAUCCAUAUUUACGUCACCAUAUUAUUCGUUUGCUACAAUCUCUUCCAUUUUUUGACAUUUGGAUUCCUCAAGACGUUUGAGUUGUACAGAACAGCUAGCCAUGGAACAUGAAAACAAGAAUCUUAAACCAUCAAGCUUGUUAAGUUGGGGCAUCAGAACCAGCUGUAUAUAAUGCACAAUAUAAGUGUAAUUAGCAAGAAUGACAAUUUUCAUGGUUAUUAAUUAGUUGUAUUUAUUCCAAAAUGUAUAGACAAGAAAAGAUGAGUAGACAUAAAGUAAAGGUCUAAUAUGAAACAACUAGUAACCCAUUGUUAGUAUGCGUUUUGUUCUUCCUUCUUUGGUUAACCAAACCAUAUAAUCAUACAUUAUCCUUUAAGCAGAUUAUUUUCUCUAUAAGCUGAGCUACCAUUUUGUUAGAGGUUUUUAUCACAAAUAAUCCCAUAAAUUGACCUCACUCUUCACUUUGGUCUCUGAAAUUGAAAAUCGAUCAAUGUUGUCCCUGAAAUUUUGUACCACAAAUCAUUGUCAUCCCUAGUGUCCCAUUCCAUUAAUUUUUCAGUUACCUUCAUGAUUUUAAAUCUCAUCAUUUUAAAAAAAAAAAGUUUAGUCCAUGUGGCACCACACCAUUGGUUGUAUGGGUCUACAUGUUUGACACCUCAUCAAAGUAACAUAAAAUAAAUGGAAUGAGACGGUAUGAAUGACAUUGAUUUGUGGUACCAAAUUUCAAGGAAGACAUUGAUCGAUUUUCAAUUUUAGGGACUAAAGUGAGGAGUGAGGUCAAUUUCAAGAACAAUUUGUGAUAAAAACCCUUUUGUUAACAGAAAUCCAUGUUCAUGAAAAGAAUAGAUCAUACUUCCCCAAUUCAUGAAAACUUUCGUAGCCCUGCAAAUUACAUUCUCCAUAAUGUUUUCUCCGGCUUCUGUAUAUGUAGUUGCUUCUGAGUCCGUGCAGUUACAACAGAGGUGCUGCGGUUGGAGGAGAAACCAAUAAACUUCGGUAGAUUCCACCACAUCAAAGACCGUUGUUUUUAAAAGGCUAAUUUAUGAGAUGACCGCAACAUACACUUUCCAAACUACACAUGGUUGUGAAGAGAGUGACGCCAAGUUUGGAAAGUCAUUAUGAGAAUAUCUCCAUCUACUCAAGUUAAUGAAUAUGUAACUUGAUCAUUGUUUUGGGCAUGGAGAUGCUUCAGUUGUUUAACACCGUCCAUGUCCAAUAAAUGGGAAAUAGUAUUUACACCCCCCUUCCCAUCCAAGUGCAAAUGCUCAGAUCUCUUUAGCAGCAAUUUUAUACCUUGAUCGAAUUGAUUCUUCGUAUUUAGCUUGAGUUUUAGCAUGUUAGAGAAGGUUCAUUAGACAUCAGAAUAUAACCACCAAUCACCAACAAAGAUGGUGUGCCUUUCCAAAUUAUCUGAGAACAAGUUUUUCGGAGAAGGUUAGCAUCCAGAACAUAUAUAUCUAAUGCAGUUAGCUGAGACAAAUGCUUCAGCUCUGAAACACUAACAUUAUGUCUUCCAUCGAUCGGACAUUCACCCUCCCAUUGCUCAAAGCUGUUUAUUCCCAUUCUCAAGUCUGCUAACGUUAGGUGAAAUCAGUCCAAGUUCCGAGCAACCACUCAAAUCUAACAAUCGUAUAUGAGUCAGUUCCCCUAUUUCAUUGGGCAACUCCUUAACCUGGGAGUGUGCAUGGCUAAGAACUUUCCAAGUUUCUUAGCUCUCCAACUAGAGCUAUAUCCCCCAACACGCAUUGAUCUAAGCACAAUGUUUGAGGAAUUGUUAGGUAUUUAGGAGAAGGAGGUAAUGAUGGAAAAUAAAGCACAGUUAAAUCCAACACUUCGAGCUUUUUCAUCUCUUCAAAAAAAUUGCAAGGGAUUGAUUUCUAGCGAGCCAUCACUACUCCCUAAGUAAAAUAUUUUCAGUUCUGAGCAUUCCCAAGGUACUUGGGGAAGCGUGGGUAUGGACAGUGUACAGUAACGGAGAGAGACCCAUAUCAUAGAGGACUCUUUAAACAAAUCCAUAUAUAGCUGUCCAUUCUUUCAACUCCGCAUAUGUUAAACAAUCCGGACAGCAACAUCUCGUACAAGCUCGUGCAUCCUAGCACUGAUCAUCAUAACCGUCUUUGAAUCAACAAAUGAAAUGCAUUUCGUGCCUCUUCCACAGUAUCGAAAUUUUUAACCGACUCUAAACCUAUAAAUAUAAUGAAUUAAAAUGUGUAUAAAAAUAAAUAAUUUUAAUUUUAAUGUAAUGACAUAAAAUAAGAUAUCUAUUAAAUAAACAACAACAACAACAAAGCCUUUUCCCACUAAGUAGGGUCGGCUAUAUGAAUCCUAGAAUGUCAUUGCGCUCGGUUAUGUGUCAUGUCUUCUGUUAGAUCUAAGUACUAUAAAUCUUUUCUUAGAGUCUCUCCCAAAUUCUUCCUAAGUCUUCCUCUACCCCUUCGGUCUUGAACAUCUGUUCCAUAAUCGCAUCUUCUAACCGGAGCGUCAGUAGGCCUUCGUUUCACAUGUCCAAACCACCUUAACCGAUUUUCUCUCAUCAUUCCUUCAAUUUCGGUUACUUUACCUCGGAUAUCCUCAUUCUUAAUCUUAUUAAAUACUAAAACAAAAAUAUAAUAUAAUAUAAACUUGAAUUAAGUACACAUUAGAGGAUCAAAAUCAAUAUCCAAUCUUACACCAUAUUUUUAUUGAAUUUUAAUUUUCUUCAAGGAUUAAAGUUAAAAAACUCCUAAAAGAAAACAAGUGAAGGUAUAAUUCACCUUUUCAGCUAAGAGCUCAAAAUUCUCUGAGUCGAUCUCUCUUUUUUCUUUGUUGAUUGUAAUGUUUUCACUCUUACCAUCAAAGAUGAAUGUCACCAUUUUAGUACAAUCGUCUAGAUACAAAUACUCCAAAGACAAAAAUUCAAUGUAACUUCCUGAGUUGAAUCUAGUGAGGUUCGGAAGAUUUGCCCAAAUACACCUUAAAUGUUAUAAACUUCGUUUAAAAUAAGAGGUAUGCUAUCUACACACUCCAUUUUACUUCUCACACACUCCUUGAUAAUUUCUGUUUGUUGAUCUUUUUCAAUUCAUCCAAUCCGACGACCAAAAAUUAAAAAGGUGUGUGAGAAGUAAAAUGGGGUGUGUGGAUAUCACACCCCUAAAAUAAAUGCAUUACGAAAUGUCUCCAAUCCCUUCGAAUUCCUCAAUUUUUAAAAUUCUUUAAAAUUAGUUCUUAAUUUCAUUCACCAUGAAUGUUAUAAACUUCUUUAAAACCUUAAUUAAAUAUACCCAUAUUUUUAUGAAUGAAUGAGGAUCCUUACAAGAUCCUCUUUGUGAGGAUCUUGAAGAUCAUUAAAUCGUGUCCAUUCAUCGUACAUGCAGUCAAAAAUUAUUUUAAAUAUUUUUAUUUAAAAUUAAACAUGAACAAUACUUGACAAAAACUGAUCACACGAUAUACGAUAAACAAACACGAUUUAAGGAUCCCAAGAUUCUCACAAAGAAAAUCUGAAGAGAAUCCGCAGUUUUUAAGAAUUUUAAUAAACCGUCUUAAAAUUUUGACAUAAAUAUUAAAUGGGGUAAAUUACAUAAUACCCCAUCAGGUUUGAAGUCUAUUACAACCCAAUACAACAUCUUUAAAACAUUUCACUUUCAUACCUCACGUACUAUUUUAUUUCAAAAUAAUACCUCUGUUAGAUUUUCCAUCCAUUUGUCUGUUAAAUGCUGACGUGGUUACCACGUUUGUGCUGAUGUGGCUGCCACAUGGCAAAAAAAAAUUUAUACAUUAAAAAUAUUAUAAUACUAACCCUAUUAAAAAAAUAAAAACAAGAAAAACCCAAACCUAGAAAUCCUUCCCCGCAACCCCACAUCCUACCCUUACCCCCUUACCCAUCUCUUCUUUCCCGUCCGUCCAUCCCCUCCACCCUUCCAUCCAUCCCCUCCACCCGAGCACCCCUCAGCGUGGGUCCCACCUUGACCCCUUUCUUUCUUUCUUUCUUUCUCUCUCUCUCUCUCUCUCUCUCUCUCUCUCUCUCUCUCUCUCUCCUUUGUAAAAUGUGGAAUUUGAGAUGCGGGUGUGGUUUUUGAGGUCUAGUGCCUCUCCUACACCGUCCUCCCAACCACUUCACCUACACCGUCCUCCACCAAGUGACUCGGUCAUUCUCUCUGACGCUCAGCCUGGGCCAAGGCGGCUUCAGGUCUAUGUUCUUCACCAUUAUCCCACACACCCGCCAAAUCUCUCUUUUUAGCCUCCAAGCUCGAUUCUCCGCUUGUCGUCUCGGUGCUCGGAUUCUCCUCCGACCCAAAACAGUGCUCGGAUUCUCCUCCACCGCCACCGCUGCCCACCUCCGAAGCCUCUUCGUCGAAUUUGACUUUUUCGACGGCCUGGGCAUGACUCUCUACGGGUUUGGGGGUUAGGUUAUUAGGGUUUCGGAAUGGGGAUUUUGUAAAUGGGUCGGUUGAUAGGUAGAAUUAGGUAUGGAAGUGCUUCAAUGGGGAUGAACUGCGGGCUGAGCGGUGGAUUUUGUAAAUGGGAGUUGCAGAGAGGUGAGGGGCAAAGAAGGGGAUCUGGGUUCGGGUUUUUCUGGUUUUUUUUUUAAAAAAUAGGGUUAAUAUUAUAAUAUUUUUAAUGUAUAAAAAAAAAAAAAAUUGCCACGUGGCAGCCACAUCAGCACAAAUGUGGCAGCCACGUUAGCAUUUAACAGACCAAUGGAUGGAAAAUCUAACAGAGGUAUUAUUUUGAAAUAAAAUAGUACAUGAGGUAUGAAAGUGAAAUGUUUUAAAAUGUUGUAUGGGGUUGUAAUAGACCUCAAACUGAUGGGGUAUUAUGUAAUUUACCCGUAUUAAAUGCCAUCGAGAAUCUAAUGCUCCCCUUUGAUUUCUUUUUCAACCAGACCAAAGAAGAUGAACGAUCCAUAACCUCAGACAGAAGAGGAACGUUUGGUUAUAUUCUGUUUUGUUGUUGGUUUCCCUUGGCUGCACCAGUGUCAGUACAACUCGGCGGCUCCUCCCUCUAGUCUAUGUUGUCGGCAUCCUGGCUCCGCCCUCCACCCACCUUUUGUGCUUCCUCCGGCAACUGCAAGUUCUUAUUCACUUGUUCUUUUUCUUCUUUUCUUUUUUCUUGUAAAUUAAUUUAGGGUAAAUUACAUAAUACCCCUUCAGGUUUGAGGUCUGUUACAACCCCAUACAACAUCUUUAAAACAUUUCACUUUCAUACAUUUACUUAUCAUUUUAUUUCAAUUUCAUACAACCAUUAAAAAAUAUGUUAAAUUAACCGUUAAGUGAUGACGUGGCAAAUAUGAGUUCCCCAUUUGUGAUGACGUGGCUUCCACAUGUGUGCCACGUGGCUAAACAAUUAAUAAAAAAUCUAAAAUAUUAAAAUAAUUAACUAAAAAAGGUUAUAUUAAAAAAAAAAAAAAAAACUAGAAGUUGCCUUCCCCACCCAUCCCUUCCCCUUCCCUCCAACCCUCCCCACCCCCACCCCCCCAACCCACUCCUCUCCUCCACUCUCUUCAUCUCCGAUCCCUUCUCCUUCCCCACAAACCCCCCCACCCCACCCCACCUAGAUACCCAUAUUUGUUCUUAAAAAAUUAAAAAAUAAAAAAUAAAAAAAACUAGAAGUCGUCUUCCCCACCCAUCCCUUCCCCUUCCCCACAACCCCCCUACCCCUACCCCCCCCAGCCCACCCCUCUCCUCCACUCUCUUCACCUCCCCCAGCCGAUCCCUUCUCCUUCCCCACAACCCCCCCCCACCCCACCCCACCCCACCCCACCCCACCUAUAUACCUAGGGGUGGAAAAAAAUACCGAAAAUCCCAAACCAUACCGAAAAAAUCCCGAAACCGAACCGAAAAAAUCCCAAAAAUUUUGGUACCAAUCCCGACCUUUCGGUACAGGAAUUGGUUUCACAAUCUUAUUUUUUCUAUAUUCCCAAACCAAACCGAAGUUAACAUAUAUAUAGUUUUAGAUAUUAUAAGCCGUUGGAUUGGUUGAGAAUUAAUCUCAGCUGUUCAUUCAAAAUGAUACCCAACCUCACCUUCACCUUUGCUCUCUGACCUCUCCGCCAAACUCUCUGACCUCACCCCACCUCACCUCACCUUCACUUCCUUCCCUCCCUACUCCUAUACUCCUUUCAGUUUAGAGUUCAAACCCACAAAUAUCUCUCUCUCUCUCUCUCUUUCUCUCGACCUCCACUCUUUCACUCUCUAACCCUUACCUUCACACUACAUCCGGACUCCAGCCUUCCAUUUUCUUUUUGCAUUUGGCAACUUCUUCUGCAUUCGAUAAUCAAUAUAGCCACCUCUGCUUCCUUCUACUUCUCUCUUCAUUAAGGUAAUAUUCUUGUCUUCAUCUAGUCAUCUUGAUGUGGUAAAAUAUGUUUGUGGCUUUAAUUCGUUUUUAAUUUGGGCAUUUGAAUUCUAGGGUUUUGGAUUUGGGGGUUUUCAAUUUCGUUUGAAAUUUGGAGUUUUUAAUCAUAUGGUUCUUAUAUAAUUCGUUUAUUUCCUCCUUGAAGCUAGCAGACCUGAGCUCCUUUGCCUCCUCCUCGAACUCUCUCCAUGAAAUAGGGACUUGCAUGUUAUCAAGCCCUGUAGUCGAAGAGAAAAUGUGCAAAUGUUUAUUGUUUCAGAAAUCGUUUUGCACAAGUGUUUGUGUUCUGCAAUCUUCAUUGAAUCUAGCACUCUUCUUCAAUAGUUUGUACUUUAAUGAUAGCAGCUGCAAUUUGUGUUUCUAACAAUAUUGCUAGCAAGGCCAGUUUAAUAAUAAAUUCAUUUUUUUAUCAGUUCACAGUAUUAAUUUUGGGAAUUUUUAACCACGAAGCCUUCAUAAAACAUGGUGGAUUAGAUUUGUUUUAUUAGCAAGAUACCAUCCAUAUUUAAAUUAUGUGUUUCUUACAGUUCCCUCUCUUUCUUUACAGGCAUGAGAGAAUUUAGGCCAAUGAGUUACGAUUGUUUUGACGCAUGAGCCCAAAACUAUUUCGGGAUUGCCGAUUUGUCCCGAAAUCCCAAAACUAUUUCGGGAUUCCCGAAAAUUUGGUUUGGGAUCGGUCUUGAAAUUGGAAUUCCCGAAAACUUCGGUUUGGGAAUCAGGACAAGGUUUUCGGUAUGGGAUCCCAUACUGAACUAGCCCUAUAUAUACCCAUAUUUGUUCUUUAAAAAAAAAACACAAAAAACUAGAAACCCAAAUUUCUUCUUCCUCUUCCUCACCCAUCACCCUUCUCCUAUCCAUCAUCACCCACCCCCAAAAGUCCCACCCGAGCACACCCCCUUCUCCUAUCCCCAUCACCCCCCCCCCCCAAAAAUCCCCCAUCACCCAUUUCAAAAAUCCCACCCGAGCCCACCCCCUCCGUCCAAGCUCUUGCGUUUUCUGUGGGAGUGGAGACCGCCGAUGAAUGUCUCUACGAAUUGAUCGGCGAUAGGAAAAGGAAGAAGAAAAGAGAGGAGUGCAUGAUAUUAGGGUUAGGGUUUGAGGCUUUGCAGAGAAGCUCAUCUUUGAGAGAGAGAUGAGAGAGAGAAGAAGAAAAGCGGAGGAAGAAGCUAUCAGAAAUGGUGAUGAGGAGAGGACUGAGAAGGGGAUUUUUGGGAGGGGUGAUGGGGGAUGGGAGAAGGGGGUGGGCUCGGGUGGGAUUUUUUAGGGUGGGUGAUAGUAGAUGGGAGAGAGAGGUGAUGGGUGGGGAAGACAACUUCUGGUUUUUUUUUCUUUAUUUUUAUUUUUUUAAUAUAACUUUUUUUAGUUAAUUAUUUUAAUAUUUUAAAAAUUUUAUUAAUUAUUUAGCCACGUCAUCACAAAUAGAGACCCCAUAUUUGCCAUAUCACUUAACAGUUAAUUUAACAGAUUUUUUAACGGUUGUAUGAAAUUGAAAUAAAAUGAUAAGUAAAUGUAUGAAAGUGAAAUGUUUUAAAGAUAUUGUAUGGGGUUCUAAUAGACCUCAAACCUGAGGGGGUACUAUGUAAUUUACCCAUUAGUUUAUAGGAAAACUAAUGAAAAUAACUUGAAAACUUUGAGUUUUAACGAUAAGAACAAAAUAAAUGGUAAAGUGAAUAGUACCAGGAUUGACUUUUUAGUGUAAAAAUAUGAUUUUUUGUUAAAGUGAAAAGUACCGAACUUUUCAUUAAAGUUCCCAUAAUUUAUAAGAUUGUUUCUGAAUUCUGAUAUUGUGAUUUUAGAUUUGAGAAUCAAUGUUGAUGGGUUUUUAGUUGAUAGAUUUUUUUAGGGAUUUUGGGAUUUCAAUAAAUGCCCUGUUUCUAAUUUCACAUAAUUCCUAACUUUUGAGGGAUUUAAAGGUUCGGUUGAGUUAAUAGUAAAGAUGGGAGUUUUGAAUAAUUUCACUUAGGGCUGGUUUGGUAUUGCUGUGCUUUGAAAAAAAACUGCUGUGAGAAUAAGCGGCUGUGCUGUGAAAAUAAGCGGCUGUGAAAUAAAUCAGCUGACUGUUUGGUAAACUUUUUUGUAAAAGUGCUUUUAAAAAAAAAAACAGUCUGACAGUGUGUCUUUUUAUUAAAGGAGCACUAUAGCUCCGUGUGCUUUGAAAAAAAAAUCAGUUUUCAAAGCUGAAAAUAGCAGCUUCAGCUUUUUCCUUUGAUUUCAGCUUAUUCUCACAGCAGCUUCCAAAAUAAGCCAUUUUUUUUCAGUUUACAAAACAUCUAAAACCUUCACAGCUUUUUUUCAUAGGUGUUUUUUUUUUUAAGCACCUCGCUCUCAAACCAUCCUUAAACGUCUAAUUUCAAAUUUCUGAAGCGCUCCGGCCGAAUUGAGCUUCCUGCCUGGACCGACAUUGUGAAGACGGCCACAUUCAAGGAGCUUGCAGCAUAUGAGCCUGAUUGGUACUACAUUAGAUCUGCAUCCAUGGCAAGGAAAAUCUACUUGAGGGGUGGUCUUGGUGUUGGUGCCUUCCGCAGGAUCUAUGGAGGGAGCAAGAGGAACUGAAGGGAAACAGAGAAGUAUGCAACCCUUUUUGCUUUGCUUUUUCUUUUUUUACUAAGCUUCUUCUGGACACAACUGCAUAGUCGAAGAAAAAGUCGGGUUAUACAGCACUUGCAAAGUAGAAAUUAUGCUAUGAAACGGAUGUUUCUUGAUCAUCAAACAACAAAGACUAAAAAAAAAUGAUGAACGACUUUCUGAAAACAAUUUUUAUAAUCCAAAAAUUUGCUUGGUAUCGAGCCUAGAAACAUGCAAACAUGUAUGAUUUGCUUUGAAUUUCACUGAGACAUUUUAACAAACAUCAUACCUGCACACUUUGAGCCCAGCAGAAAAUGAAAUGAAGAUCAAUUCGCUCGUUGAGUGUCUAGUGCCCAUAUCUAAAAUGUCAAAAACUAGUAAAUUUGUGUUUGGUAGUAAAGCUUUUGUAAUAUAAAUUUUAAGAUAGUAACAAUGGGGGUGGCGAUGGUGUUUGCGGCUAGAGUGGUGUUGGUGGUGGUGAUGGUGGCGUUGGUGUUUGCGGCUAGAGUGGUGUUGGUGGUGGUGAUGGUGGCGUUGGUGGUGGGAGAUAGUGGUGACUGGCAUUGCCAUAUCUCCAAGGUGUCUAGAUUAUUCAAUCUUCCCAUAAAGAAAGAGAAAUGCAUGAAUAACAUACCUUUUCUUCGAAAAGAAAAUAUUGUACGGCAGUCUCAAGAUUCUUCUUCCAUCCCUUCUCUUCAGUUUCUUUGUGUUUUGUAAUACUUUCACUCUUACCAUCAAAUAUGAAUGCCCUCAGUUUAAGACAAUCUUCUAGAUGCAACAGCUGCAAAGACGGAAGUUCAAUAAAUAUAACUUCCUGAGCAGAAUCUGGCAGGAGAUAUUGCAGUUGUAGAUGUUUUAGCUUGCAAAACCUGUUAUCCAUAUUUGCAUCACUAUAUUCUUCAUUUGCUACAAUCUCUUCCAUUUUCUGAAUUUGGAUACCUCAAGAUGUUUGAGUUGUACAAGACUUCUAGCCAUGGAACAAAAAUCUAAAACCAUCAAAGUUCCGUAAGCCUGGCAGUUUCAUUCACCAUAAUGAUUUCUUCGGCUUUUGUAUAUGUUGUUAGUUGUUUUUUAAUCCUUGCAGUUACAACAGAGGUGCUGCGGUUGGAGAGAAACCAAUAAACUUUGGUAGAUUCCACAACAUCAGAGAUGGUAAUUUUCAAAACUAACAAGGUUAUAAAGAGAUAGUGACUCCAAAUUUGGAAAGAUAUAGCCAACAGUCACCAACAUGGAUGGUGUAGCUUUUCAACUUAUCCGACAACAAGUUGUUCGGAAGAAGGUUAGCAUCUGGAACGUGUAUGUUUAAUGCAGUUAGCUGAGACAAGUGCUUCAGCAUCAGGAACAUUAUUUCUUCCAUCGAUCAGACCUUCCACCCUCCCAUUGCUCAAUGCUGUUUAUUCCCAUUCUCAAGUCUUCUAGUCUUUUCAAGCUUGAUGAAACAUUAGGUGGAAUCAGUACAAUCUCAGAGAAACCACUCAAAUCUAAUUGUAGACGAGUCAGUUGCUCUGUUUCAUCAUGCAACUCUUUAACCUGGGAGUGGGCAAGGCAAGGCUAAGAAUUUUCAAGUUUCUUAGCUCUCCAACUAGAACAAUAUCCCCCAACACGCACUGAUCUAAGCACAAUGUUUGAAGAAUUGGUAGGUAUUUAAGAGAUGGAGAUAAUGAUGGAAAAUGAAGCACAGUUAAAUCCAACACUUUGAGCUCUUUCAUCUCUCCACGAUUCUUCUUCGCAAAGUCAAGCUGAAAAUCUUUUUGGGUAUGCAUCUCAUAUACACAUUUCGCUCUCUAGAUGUCAAAAGUAAAUUACAAGUCGGUGCCCGGCGAAGUCCCACAAGGUCCAAAUGAAUUCUUCCCAAAACAUCAUCUAAAAUAACAAGUGUUCUUGUCUUUUAUCCUGUCCCAUAAACAAUUUACCCUUCUCUCAGAUUCAUCAAUGUGCAUACCGAACUUUUCUGCAAUUUGUUUCUGAAUUUUCUCCAGGUCUUCUUUUUCAUUGACAUUCAGUAUUAUAACCACAUCAUCCUAUAACUUAUCUUGUGCAGCUUGUCUGAAAACCUGUUUGGCAUCAAAUUAAAGGACAAAUGGAGCAUGAGUUCAAGUGACUCCUUAGGUUUGAAGGUUGCUUUUGUAGUGAAUCAGGUAUCCCACUUGACGUCCAACUGGAACAACUGUGUACUCAAUUAUUUUUCCAACGACCUUGGGAAUAAAUGAAGGUAAGACAAAACAACAUGCCACUUUCAGUUUAGUAAUAUAUCUGUUGAACAUAAACGAAGCCAAAAACAUGGAAAAAGAUCUAGAAAUUUAUGCAACAAAAUAAAAUGAAAAAUGGAAAGACAAGAAUAAAAUGUGAUUGACAUUGAAUAAUGAAACAAAAGACAUACCUUAGCUCGUGAGAGGGAGACGAACGGCAAAGAAGAAGAGACUAUGUAACUUGUGAGAGUGAGAGUAACGGCAAAGUAAAAGCAAAGUGAAGGUGAACGACAACAGAAAUUGCAAAGUUGUGUUGUGAAAUGAAAUUAGAGGACAAAUGAAGAUAAGUGAAAUAAGUGUGGUUUACCGUAUUAAAACGAAGUCGGAUGAGUUGCUAUUCAAUAAUACGGUCUAGUUGUAUUUUUCUUCAUUUGUAAGCAAGGAGUCUUAGAUUCUAACUUCGUGAAUGAUGAUUGAUAAGUUUGAUACCAAUUUAUUCUUACCACCUUUAGUUAAUCUCUUUAUGGCCCGAUAUUAUUUUUAGUGAUGCUCAAUAUCCAUCUCAUUCUGCACCCCAAGUCCACUGUGAGAUAACUUGCAUAAGAAUCUUUUUUCUUCAAGCUCUCAAAAUUACUCCUUCCCUCCAUUGUAGAAAGAUGGCAAUGGUCGAGAUUUAACAAAGAGAGGUUUACGAUUCUCCAAUGAUGUUUUUUUAUAGGUUUGAUCAUGUAUAUGAGCAUUUGAUAGUGAAUACAUGUAUAGUGCUUCACAAUUGAAAAGAAGUGGAAUCUUAGUUUCAGGUAAUUACCGAGAUUUUUGUUGAUCCCCUUUUGUUGUGCUGCCAAUUUUGAGUUCCUAUCAUGUAAAUUGGUUGACUAAAAUGUUAGUGUAUGCAAAAAGGUUGUUGAUGCUGAUGGUUUUUUUCUGUAACUGAUUUAAGAGUUGCUAUUGUAUUCUUAGCAUAAACGUCAGACUGCCAAUGACAUCCUUUUGUUUUCUAUAGCUGCCAGUGUCUAAACCUCCAACAAAAUGGGAAACUUUUGCCAAAACAAAAGGUAAAUCAUUACUGUAGGAGUCGAACAGUACCUUUCUUCUAUUUCUUUUAAGGCUCUAUUUUGGUUUCUCAUAUGUGGCCAUUUGGGCAUUGAGAGCUGUAGUUGGAUUUAAGAUUUUGAGAAAUUGGAAUAUCCUUUAGGAAAAUGACGCAAUUUGGGAUUGGACCUGUCAAGUUGUUAUAUGAAAAGUCAUAGGUAUCCACACUCACCAUUUUCAGAAUUGUUGUAGGGAUUUCCCUUGAGAGAUGGUUGUGUGAGACACUGAGAACCUAUAAAUUUGUGAGAUGUUCCAAGUCUGAAGGUAUCACUCUGGAGAGAGAAUUGCUGGGUCCAAGUUGUAACUCUGGAGUAAUUUACCAAUCUGUGCCGGUAUGUCACCAGUCAAGUGGAUCUGGCUCAAGUUUAGAAGCUGCUGUUUUGUCAUUUGUCCGAGCUCAGGUGGGAUUGGACCUGUAAUUUUAUCAACCCAUACGCAUUUUCCCCACUGUGGUCAGAGUGUACCAACAAACUGGAUCUCAUCAAGAGCAAUGAAUUCAAGAAUGAAUUGAAAUAUAGAAAAACUAACGAAAAGUCCAAAAAAACUUCUCUUUUAACGAAAAACCAUUUUUAAAUGUAUAAUGAAUAGUGCUAGUUAAAGGGAAAAAUGUGGUUUUUCGUUAAAAAUGAACAGUACCGGGAGUAUUUUGUUAAAUCUCCCUUGAAAUAUUCAGUGAGCUUUUAUGCGCAUUUCUGGUUUAGUCCAUUAUUUUAAUACAUAUACAAUAUUUAUAAUUCAUUUGACAUUCCCGAGGCAACGCGUGGGCUAAAACUACAGUAACUACGAGUCCUCUCUACAUUCUAGUCCUCAAUGGAGAUGCUCUUAAGAAGAUGAUUGGAAAUGAUAUUUUUCAUGUAUCACAAGAAGCAAUAAAAUGAGUACCAAUUCAAGGAUAAAGCUGUUUCAGUAGACGUGCACACAAGCACCACUUCAAAUGCAUCAAUGUUAACAUAAAUCACACAAGCUUUAUUUCCCAAACACCAAAACUGAAAGUGUAGCGAACAAAGCUUCAAAUACAAAUCACACUUUUACGAUGAAACACGAGUCAAAACAAGCAUAACAUGACAUGGAAUAUGCAUCAGUGCCUUCCCAAAUUGCACAAGUUUCUGGGACAGCUUUCCAUUGAGGCCGCAGCUUGCAUGCUUAUAUUAAACAAGAUGAGAUCAGCCAGGGAAGCAAGGUUGGGCACAGACCGUCGAGGGGAGAACAGAGAAUAGUUAGAGUAAGUAACAAGAAAACUUGAGUAUAAUGAAAGUAGCAACCACAAUAACGCCAAAGCCAAGAAAGCGUGCAUCCUCUAGGAUCUCCAAUGCGUAUUUCCUUUGACUCCAAGUAGCAUAGUUUUAACCAUUAAAAAUUUGAACAAUCCAAUGUGAUUUCCGUGGAAUGUGUAGUGUGGUCCAACAUAUCAGAGUGCCUUCCAGUCUGCUCUCCAGGCUGAUAUUUCUUCCUUUAAAAAAAAAAACAGAAGGAAGAGGAAAAUAACACACAAACAUGCAAUCGCACACAAUCGGAAAACCUUAACACGCCAGGCAAAAGAUGAGGAUUCCUUUUUGGCAGAGUCUUGCAAUUGUAACAUCUACAUUUGAAUCCGUGAUCACCAGCUGCUCCUGUAGAAAUAUAUAUUUAGUGGACAAUUAUAAAUAAACACAUAAACUAUUCAGUAUGAAUUCUGACUGAACAACUAUGAAUAAGAUGAAUAAAUCAAACUUUAAAAUUUGACUUCAAGGUUCGGAAAAAGCUGAAAAAUUGGAGAGUGAAAUUAACAGAUGCUUAAUUAGUGAAUGAAGAACUUACGGUUUGAUCACGUUCAUUCUCCUUUGAAUCACUUAGCUUUUGUACAUCAUCAGUUUCCUCUGCUAUUUGUAGUCUUUCUGGUCUUGGAUCACUUUGGAGUAACCCAUCAAGAGAAAUCGUUAACUCAAUCAACGGGCACUUCUCGACAAUCAAAUUGUUGGACGGUAAGGAUGGGACCUUGAAAAUGUAAUUUCCAGUGCAAAAUCCUUGCAGACUUGGUAGAUCAAAAAGUUUCAAAUGUUGCAAGCAACUGAAAGUAAUCUCAUUUUCUGGAUCAUCUCUGUUGCUCACUACUAUUUCAACCAUUCUUUCACAGGACUCAACUUCGAACUCCUUGAGUUGCUGCAAAUUCUUAGCCACAGAAUAAGGUAUUAAGUAUUGCAGUCCAUGACAAUACCGUAUGGUCAAACUGGUUAGAUUCCGAAAGGAUAUCAAAGUUGAAGCUAGAUUCUCUAAUCUGCCACAUUUUUGCAGACAUAGAAUUUCCAAGUUUGGAAAAACAGGACAGGGACCCCUGGUUCGGAGUUUUUCCAUUCCUAGAUGUAUCAGCUCCGGCAUAUCGAUGAGCCACAAAGUCUUUACACGUGGGAAGGUCUCAGCUUCAUGUAUUUCCCCGCUACUACUUCCUUGGUGGUUGUGGACAAUUAAUUCUUUCCAAGGAGCAGAGAGAACACCGAGGUUUUCAAUAUUCUGUAAAUUCUCAAAGAAAACAUCUGACUUGGGAUGUGAAGUAGCAAAAUAAAUCGAUUUUAUUUUGCUUAACAACUCUGCCGGAAGUGGACCAUACGGCUCAUACCAAAUCUCUGUGUUCUCGUCCAACAUCAAGUAUUCCAAGUUGAUGAAUGACUUACCCUAAAAUAUAAUCAACAGUAAUGACAUGCUUUAAAAUAUUUUGAAAAAUUGGACACCACAUAAUAACUUUAAUAUUAAAAACUUAAUAAAUAUAUUUACUUGAUGUGUUUGUUUAACUAGUAUGUAAAAAUCACACAAAAUUCGAAUAUCAAAAGAAUUGUGUUGGUUACCUUCUCAAUUAAAAAGAAAGGCUGUUUCAUUGGUGUCGGAUGGCCCAACUCAAGUUUGUCUUGAUAUGUUGAAGAUUCAGAAGCAAAAAUCUCCACAUUAGCACAUUUCUUGAAAUUUAAUGUAUUGAGUAAUGGCCAAUUAUAAACAUGCAGCCCUGGAUAGAAACUCCGUAGUUGAGGUAGAUCUUCAAACAUCAUACAUGUUACUUUAGAGAAUUCAAAACAGUUCAACUGAGUGGUAGAUGAUGUGUCAUAUACCACUUGUAGUGACUGGCACUGCUUUAUUUGUAAUGUCUCUAGAGCAUUUAAUCUUCCCAUGAUACUUGGCCCAAAGAUAUUAAUCAGACUGUGGCAUCUACGAACAUCCAUAAUUCUGAGCUUGCUAAAAGAAUCUGAAUGAAGUUGGUUGUGGAAUAUUGUCUUCAACUUAGGUAAGUCCCAUAUGUACAACGUAUCCAAGCUAGGAAAUCCUACCUGUCACAUAUUCAUUUAGAAUUUGUGAACAAACCUUUUUUCACAAGAGUGGGACACAUGCAUAAGUUGGAAACAAAAGCUUAAAGAAACAAGUGAAGGUAUAAUUCACCUUUUCAUCAAAGAGCUCAAUAUCUCUUUCUUCUUUGUUGGUUGUAAUAUUUUCACUCUUAGCAUCAAAGAUGAAAGUCUCCAGUUUAGUACAAUCGUCUAGAUCCAAAUACGCCAAAGAUGGAAAUUUAAUGUAACUUCCUGAGCUAAAUCUAGUGAGAUUUGGAAGAUGUUGUAACUCUAGACGGUUUAGCUUAUCAAACAUAUCAUCUGUAUUCUCCUCAUUUCUCACUAUCUCUUCCAUGAUUUGACAAUUGGAUAUCUUGAGAUUUUUGAAUUGUCUGAGACAUUUAGCCAUGGAACUCGAAAACAAGAAUCUUAAACUAUCACAUUGAUGCACAAUCAAGGUUGUUAAGUUGGGCAUCAUAACCUGCAUAGCACAUAACAGAAUUCAUGUUUGUAUUAGGAAAUUACAAUUUAUAUUAUUGUUAGCCGUAUACAUUCCAAAAUGUGUAGAUAUAAAGUAAAUAUCAUAUAUUUAAAAAGUAAGCUACUAGGCUACUGAACAAAUAUAUGUCCUUGUACCUUCAUUAAUUCGCAAAGAACAAAUUGGAGUAAAAAUUAUCUGGAAAAAUAAAUAUAGGGCCAAAAUUAUGUCAAUUUAAUUUCAAAUUUAAACUAUUUUAUUUUUUACAAAAAAAAACCUAUCUUAUUUAAAUUAAUACCAAAAACACAUUAUUGUGAACGGUCUUUAGUGGCAAGUUGUGAAUUAUCCUGAUAGUUAGAGCGGGUUUCAAAUUUUUUACAGUUAAAAUAAGUAGCCUCUUUAUGACACAUCUCAAUACUUGACACCUGUGCACAAACUUAAACCUAACAUAACCCUAUCAACUCCCAAUAAAAUUAAAUACAAAUAAAAGCAAAAGUUAAGAAAAGAGUAAAUUGUAGCAAUGGUCCCUGAACUUUACUCAAAUUGGAGCAAUGGUCCCUCAACUAAAAAUCCAUUACUAUUGGUCCCUCAACUUAUCAAAAUGUGUAGCUAUAGUCCUUUUCAUUAAUUUCUUCAAAAUUUUGUCAAAAUAUGUUAUGUUGGAAUAACCAUUUACUUAAUUAGGGUCCCUCAACUCAUCAAAGUGUGUAAUUAUGGUCAUUUUCGUCAACUACGUAAAAAAAUUUGUCAAAACGAGUUAUGUUUGAAGGACCAUAGCUACAAUUGGGAUAAAGUUAAGGGACCAUUUCUCCAGUUGAAUUAAAAUUGAGGGACCAAAGGUAAUGGAUUUUUAGUUGAGGGACCAUAGCUGCACGUUUUAAUGAGUUGAAGGACCAAUGGUAAUGAAUUUUUAGUUGAAGGACCAUUGCUCCAAUUUGAGUAAAGUUCAGGGACCAUAGCUACAAUUUACUCGUUAAGAAAAAGAAGCCUUUCAUCCUCCUCUCUCUCACUUCCCCAAACACAAUAGCAGCAAUAUCAAUUGCAUCUCCUUCACACUUUCAAAUUCAAAAACCCAAAAAGCCUAGCCCUUCAAUUUGAUUGCUCCUUCAAAGAAUAUGGGACGACCAAUUUGGGAAGAUUGAAGAAUAAAUCCCUUUUGGCCUGUCAGAUUUGUGAAAAUAAGCGUCUCCCCUGAAAUUUCCUUUGUUGCAAAAUUCGUUGAAUUUAACAUAAAAAUACUAUAGUAAAAGGAUUUUAGUAUUUUUCAUGUCAAAUUUUGGUUAGCAUUAUAAAAAUUUAUAAUAGUUGGUUAUAAUUUAAUUUAUGGUCAAAAUUUUGGCUACUUUUCCAAAUUUCCCAAAUUACUUCCCCCACACCUUUUUAAUUUUUUAAUAUUUUUCUAUCAAGUGUUAGUGGUGUGUCAAAAAUGUUAAAAAGAAAAAAAAUGUGGGACAAGUAAUUUGAGGUGUGAAUAUAAUCUCUCUUGGCGUAUUGAAAAAAUAAAUCUUAAUAUAUCAAGAAUUGGUGGUUUUAAUGAGAAACGCAUCAUAUUCAAGGAUGACAAUCUAAUUAUACUUAAAAAAAUUGUGUACAAGUAUGCUUACCUUGUCAAUUAAAAAGAAAGGCUGUUUCAUUGGUGUUGGGUGUCUCAACUCAAGUUUGUCGUGAUAUGUUGAAAAUUCAGAAGAAAAAAUCUCCACACUACCACAUUCAAUGAAGCUCAAUUCGUUGAGUAAUGGCCAAUUAGAGACAUGCAGUCCAUGAUAGAAACUCCGAAGCCGGGGUAGAUUUUCAAAUAUCACUAUUUCUACUUUAGGGAACCUGAACUCCUCAUGUGUCCUUUUUGGUCCUUCUUCCAUCGUGACAAUUUCCUCCAUUAAACCACAAUUCUCGACCUUGAACUUGCUUAGCUGCUUAAGAUUUUUGGCUACUGAGACGGGAAAUAAAUUCUUCAAACUCUCACAUGAGGAUAUCUCAACUAAAUUUAGAUUCGGGCAAUCAAAAUUGUUCAACUGAGCGGUAGAUGAUGAGUCAUAUACUACUUGUAGUGACUGGCAUUGCUUUAUAUAUAAGGACUCUAGAGCAUUCAAUCUUCCCAUGAUACUUGGCCCAAAGAUAUUAAUCAAAUUGUGGCACCUAUUAACAUCCAUAAUUCUGAGCUUAGCAAAAGAAUCUGAAUGUAGUUGGUUGUGGAAUAUUGUCUUCAAUUUAGGUAAGUCCUGUAUCCACAAUAUCUCCAAGCUAGGAAAUUCUACCUGUCACAUAUUCAUUUUAGAAAGAGUGGGACGCAUGCAUAAGUUGGAAAUGAAAGCAUAAAGAAAAGAAGUUAAGUUAUAAUUCACCUUUUCAUCAAAGAGCUCAAUAUCUCUUUCUUCUUUGUUGGUUGUAAUAUUUUCACUCUUGGCAUCAAAGAUGAAUGUCUCCAGUUUAGUACAAUCGUCUAGAUCCAAAAACACCAAAGAUGGAAAUUUAAUGUAACUUCCUGAGCUGAAUCUAGCAAGGCUUGGAAGAUGUUGUAACUCUAGACGGCUUAGCUUAUCAAACAUAUCAUAUGUAUUCUCCUCAUUUCCGACUAUCUCUUCCAUAAUUUGACAAUUCGAUCUUGAGAUUUUUGAGUUGUCUGAGACAUUUAGCCAUGGAACUCGAAAACAAGAAUCUUAAACUAUCACAUUGAUGCACAGUCAAGGUUGUUAAGUUGGGCAUCAUAACCU
rnacentral:lncRNA from 1 species